ACUGCUGCCACAAACUUGUCAAGCAAUGACACCCCCACAUACAACUAUAGUGCGCGCAUACACACACACACAUAGACAAGUACUCAUAAAUAAACAGAUACAUACAUAUCAACGUGUGUAUGUAUUGUGGGGUGAUUUGUGAUUUGUCUUACCUCCUACAAUUAUUUUGAUGACGUUUAAUAUCAGCAUAUCUUUACUACCGAAUCUCACCCAAAGCUAUUCUAUUUUCAUUAAGGGAAUUAAAGAAGACCAAUAAUUUUAGCAACUUUAAAAAGUUAGCGGGAACUCUUUGUUAUUCCUUAACUUAGAAACUUAUUGGAGUAUAAAUUAAGGUAAGUUUUAUUUUGUUAGCUCACAAAAACUUUAUAAUUUAUGAUUCACAAUCGACAAAAAAAAAAAAAAAAACUCCCCAAAAACUUUAUAUUUUUGAGAUCUCCUAAGAUCAUAUAUAUAUAUAUAUAUAUAGUUUUUCUUUUAUGUCGAGUUAUAAUAAAAACAGUAAAAUUACUUUUGGUUAAUACAAAUUUUAUCAUACAUUUGGUUUCUAAAUUUCAGCCUGUUGACCGAUAAAAAUCACUGUCACCACUCUUGUAAAAAGUAUAAUAUAUAUAAUUAAUCUAUAUAUAUUGUUUAGUUUAACCGUUAAAAUAUAAUAUAUAUAAUUAUUAUAUAUAUUGUAAAAUUAUAAUAUAUGUAAUUAAUAUAUAUAUAUUGUAAAAUUAUAAUAUAUGUGUAUAUAUACAUAUAUAAAAAAAACAAAAAACUUUUGUAUCUUUAUUGUAGUAACUGAUCAACAUAACUUUUAGAAGUUUGGGAUAUAUUUCUUAAUUCUUCUGUAUUUCUGUAUUUUUAUAUCAAAGGUUUUCAAACAAGAUUGUACACUGCUAAUUAUGAAACUAACCAGGAAGUUUAUUUUGUUUAUUAAAUUUUUCUUUCUUUCUACAGCACUUUUUCUUUUUACGCUUCUUUAACUGCUCUACUCCGGCAACUUCUUAAUUGCAUAUUUUAGAUAUAGUUAAUAUGCAAACACUCUUUAUCAUACAAACACGUAUAGCUUAUAAUAACAAAUGUAUGACCUUCUUAUUAUAAACUAGUGUAUGUAGGUUUAGCUUUGGAGAAAGCCCAGCUAAAAUUUCAGGCAGUGCGCUGCUAGUUGGAGGACUUGUGUGAUUGAUGUGGUGAAGGGAUCAAGCAAUUACGCUCAUUUACAUACACAUGCUUUAAUGAUAUUAUAGAAUUAAUUAAUUACAUUAUGAAAAUGAUACAUGAAAAUUGUGUAUACAAAUUAUCUAAAUUGUUUUGGAAGAUUUCACCUGAAGAACUAAGCAGUUCCUUUUCCUAAUGUACAUAUGUAUGUAGGUUUUUAUAAAUAGCGAUAAAUUUCCAAUGUAGGUUAGUGUCUGUCCUACUCUUCAGACACUAAGCAAACUUUGUUGUCAUCGUCAUUUUUAACUUUCCCGACUUCGUUGGAAAAGUUAGUGUCGCGAAGAUAUAUAAUAAUGAUUUUAAAAAGGUCCUUUUUAUGUAUGUAUGUAUGUAUGUAUGGAAACUUCAUAAUACAUUAGUAUUGCCUCAUAGUUAAAACCGUCACACUUAUUUUCAGAAUAUUUUAAUAAAGAUUUUCAAAUUAACUGCUUACAAAAUAUACAUAGGCACACAUGAUCAAACAAGAGAGCCUCUAAUGCAGUUUAGUGACCUGUUUGAAAUAGCAGCCAAAUCUCCCUUUAAUCAAACGCUAUGAUCGAACGAAGGAGCCUCUGUGUGGUCGUUUGACCUGGAUCAAGCGAAAGUGUCUGUACGUGGAAGCUUGACCCGGUUAAUUGGCAGUCAAUUAAUCAGAAACUACGAUCAAGGGAAGGAGUUUGUGUGUAGACGUUUGACCCGGUCGAAAUAGUAGUCAUCCCUCCCUUCCUUUAAUAUAUAAAAAAACUACGAUUAAACUAGGGAACGUGGCCUUAAAAAGCAGCCAAAUUUUUCUUAAGUGACUCUUCUUCAAGAAACUGCGGGGACGGAAGACAAAGAUCGUUAUGACUUAAAUGCCUUCGAUUGUAACUGCUCAAUCAAGGCUGACAUUAACAACAAUAACCGACAUUUUUCUUUUUUCAUUUGAUUUUCUCACAGACUUUUUUUUUUUUCAAUAGCAAAAGGAUUGUAGAAUGAGGAUCUUUUAAAGUUUCUCUUGGAAUAAUUUAACUCGGACUGAAAGUGUGAUCAACGAACUAAUGAGAUCGAUUAUUAAUAAAGUUUGAGAGUACUUAGCAUAGAUAUUUUAACACGUUUAUUUAACUUUAUAAUUAUGCCGUUCUCGGAAUAUGUGGUUCUCCGAUUUUUAUUUUACGCAUUACAUUCAGAAUUUGCAAAUAUAAAAUAUUUUAAACUGAUUAAGGUCAGGGGCGUUUCAUUUUUAGUUGCUUUCUCUCAUUUCUUUUAAUAUGUAUGCCUUCAAAAUUCCGCCGAGGUCGACUUUGCCUUUCAUCCUUUCCGGGGUGCUAAAAUAAGUACCAGUUGGGUACUGGGGUCGAUAUAAUCUACCUACCCUCCUCUCCCGAAAUUGCUGACUUUCCUUGUGCCAAAAUUUGAAAUGAGUAUGUAUACCUUAAGGCUGAGGUAAAGAAUACGCACACCACCAGUUUUCGGCGUAACCCUAAACCCUAACCACCGGGUGUGCAUAUUCUUUACCUUCGCCUAUCUUUAGGAACAUAAAAAGUACUUUUUGAUAUAUACAUAUAUAAUGUAAAAAGAAAUAUCCCGUUUGCCUUUGAAGUGUGUAAUAUGUAUGUUUGUAAUUAUAUUUUCAUUUUUAAUAAACUGAAACAACGAUCAUUUGAAUACACCAGAAAGGGAAUUAGUACAAUCCUAAUUCGAUCUACACAGUACUUAUCAUUAUUUUGAAAGGCAAUACAGCUGUUAGAAGGCUUCCUGGUAUUUCAUACAUGUAUUCUAAUAAAUACAUCUGUUGAGAUUCCUUGCUGUUGGUGUGUGUGUGUGUGUUUAAGAUAUAAAAAGUUAUAAGGGAAGGUUUAAGAAAAGUUUAUACUUAAAAGAUAAGUGUCUGUUAAUAAAAUAAUAGGAGAAUGUCUUCGUGAUGAUUUAAGAUCUAGAAAAUGUCUUCCUGGUUAUUUAAGAUCUAGAAAUGUGUUGGUAUAUGUGUAUACAUUACAUGCGAUGUACAAAAGUGACUAAUAAAAAGUUUGCUUCCCCACGACAUAAUUUAGGUUCAGUCUCACUGUGUGGCACGUCUUCUAUAGUCUCAGCCUGACCAAAGCUUGCUUCAAGAAUUCUCCAUUAAGGAAAAAGGAUAUAACAGUAUAUCUCAAGACAUACCGUUUACCCUUGUUUCUGCUUUGAUUAGGUUUGAUUAGCAUGGCAAUCAUCGUACCCCAUCUCUAGUAGCCAAGGAACAUAUACAGAGUAGAACACGUAUAUGGCUGAGGUAAUUUGCAUAAAUUAAACAGUAAAAAAAAAGUGGAUCUUUUCGGUUUGAACGGCAGUUUUUAACAUAAUUUCUAGGUAACUAAAAAUUUUAAACUUCGUAUACAGGUAGAAUGUCUUUAGAAAACAUCUUUUUCUCUUGGCUUUAUUGAGAAAAUUCUAUAGUUUGUAAGAUAUUUGUUGUUUUUCUUCUGCAAUUUCAACCAAUCACUGACGUCUAUUGAGGUAAACAACAUUCUGUGCCGUAUGAAUAUGUCCUUCGUUUAAGAAACAGAUUGGGUUUAUUUACAUUUGUGAAGAAAAAAAGAUACCCUUCCUCCACCCCUAACCCUAAAACGGAUUGAAAUGCAAUAGAUCGAUACUAGGGUCAUAAUUAUGGGUGACAAUUUCAUAUGACACCGCUAGAAAAAACUGCCGUUCAAACCGAAAAGAUCCAAAAAAAAAAAAAAGUUAAGAGAAAUGGUAUGUAUAUCAUCACCAUCAUUUAACGUCCGUUUUCCAUGCUGGCAUGGGUUAGAUGGUUUGACGGGAGCUGUGAAGGCCAGGGGUCGCACGAGGCUCUAUUGUCAUUUCUAGUGUGAUUUCUAAAGCUAGAUGACUUACUUAUCUAAUGUCAACCACUCCACAGAGUAUACUGGGUGCGUUUUACAUGGUACCAGCACCGCUAUCAAUUCUGCUGUGACAGACGAAUCUUAUUGAGUACAUACAUGAGCAACAUAAACAAAUACUGGUAUAUCAGGUAUAUCAUACAACAUAAAUUUUUGAUUUAUUAAUAUUAUCUUUGCUUCUAGAGCAGUGCUUCUCAAACUAUCUGAUGUGGUACACCGGCAGUUUUUCUUGCCCAAUGUGCCAGGGACAGGUAAUAUUUCUUAGUAAUAUUUAUUUAUACUGGAAACAAUAUAUAUCUAUAUAUAUAAAACUGUAGUUGUGUGAGUGUCUGUCUCCUACGAUUUAGAUUCCUAACUCCUCCCACAUUUUGCGGUGCAGUUUAACCAAAUUCGGGUAUCUUAUAGUCGUGAUUCAUAUCGAGCCCGUCUGACUAUUAGCGCGCGUCAACGAUGAGUCUACGAUUUUAAAAAUAAUUUAACAUCAUUUUUUAUUCCAUUUUAAUGCAUAAAAUGCAUCGUAUGUCGAUGGCGGCGGAGUUGGCGUCCACGCUCACAGCUGCACCUGUUUGCUUCUCCCCCUUCCCUCCCUCGUGAAGCUGUGGGGAAGGGAGUGUAAAGAAAUCAACGUCGUAAUGCGUUGUGAAGGAAACCAGCGUUCUUUUAGAACAACGACUUCAUGGCUUGAAGACACCAAAACAAAAAUGGCUAAGAAAGCCCGAAUUUAUAAGGGAAGUAACUCUCUAAAAAUGCUUAUAUAGUUAUUUCCCUUACAAACCCGAGCAACGCCGGGCGAUACUGCUAGUAAUAUAUAUAAUUGAUGCAGCACGAAGUUUUGUCAGUGAACAGGUCGCAGUCUCAAAGCGACGAAAAUAUUUUAACAAAUUAAAUUUUAAUGUUGAAGUGAAUCUAACGGUUUUGUGUGUUUCUUAAAUGGCUUAUAAACACCUUCCAUGCUGCAAUUAUUUUCGUUCCAGCACACGAUCUUAGAUCAAGUCACUCGCUAUGCAAGUACAUCUCCGUAAUAUAUAUAAUGAAUAUAAUAAAAAUUGAUAAUUUUUUUUUUUUAUCUUAUAUUUAUUUUGUAAACAAAUAAUGCAAUAUUACAUAAGCAUUUUACAAUAUUUCUUUCUUUUCUGGAAACUCGCCGUGUACCAGCAGCUGAUGGCUCGUGGGCCAGCACCGGUUUGCAGACCAUCACUUUGAGUAGCACUGCUCUAGAGGAUGUGCCACAAUUACCAAAUGGCAACUGAGUCGAGCGAUGGUGUAGUAAUGGCUGCUAAGCUUUUCCCAGCUUGCACUUAAACCUAGCUACCAUACUUUUAGUGCCAUUAUGUCCUUUGCUAAUUUGUAACUCCUUUAUAACAGAAGCUAUUGACUUCUACUUGUGAGUCACCUGGGCCUUUGAGAGAAUCUGUUACAGUGUGCUCAUAGUACAUAAUGCUCCAGAGCAUUUGUUCCAUAUCAAGCUCACCUCAGUUAGCCUGCUUGUAAUUCUACUCCAUCUCUUGUGUAUCACUAGCUUACAUUGAGUUCAACAUAUGGAGUUUAUGCUUCUUUCAUCAUCAUCAUCAUCGUUUAACAUCUGUUUUCCAUGCUAGCAUGGGUUGGAUGGUUCGACGGGCACCUGGGAAGCCAGGAGGCUGCACCAGGCUCCAGUCUGAUCUGGCAGUGUUUCUACAGCUGGAUGCCCUUCCUAAUGCCAACCACUCCAUGAGUGUAGUGGGUGCUUUUUAUGUGCCACCAGCACAGGUACCAGAGGAGGCUGGCAAACAGUCACGAUCAGUUGGUGCUUUUUAUGUGUCACUGUCAUCGUUAAAUACAGCCAUUUUCCUGACAGUACUGGGAUCUUUCCAUCUUUCCUACUUAUGCAUUAGUCUUUGCUCUUGAUUCCAGGUUUAGCUUUUAUGCCCGAAAUUUCUUCAAUCUACUCUAGAUUCAACUAAGCAGACUAUAUAAUCAGAAUACAGCUGUUUCCCUAGACAGCUGGUCUUAAAUCCUUUAUAAAGGCUUGUCAGACUUUGAUGAAUAGGAGUUUUGUCUCCUCCCUUCAUUUUAAAUCUGUUGCUGAAUUCCUUGUUGGCUUUCGCUUUAUUUAAUGCAUCGUUGUACAUAGCUUGUACAGUCCUCACAAGCCAUUUGCUCAUCAAGUUUCCUAAGUGACCACAAAAUUGCUGAGCAUGGCAUUCUGUCAAAGACUUUCUCCUAGUUAAUGGAAGUUAGGAAUAGUGGUUUAGUCCUAGUCAAGUGUUUCAAUUUGCAGUUGUCUCACUAGGAAAAUUGUAUAUUUGUGGUACUUCUGCCAGAACUACUUCUCGUUUAGGUUUACUCUACUUCAGAUAACUUGUGCUGUAACCUUUAUGGCUUGAACCAACGGUUUCAUGCCACUAUAACUUCUUUCUCUUAUUUUGUAGCAGUUGACACUGACACUGCUAUUGGGUGUGGCACCUCUCUGUAUCAUUCGAUUUACUCUCUAGGUGGUUAUUGUGUGCAUUUUUUCACCCAGAAAUCAAAUCAGAAAUGACACUCCAUCAAUUGCAAUGGUGCAGCUUUUGUGAUUUGAAAUGCUACUAUCUUCCUGAUGUUAAGUUGUCAUUCUUGAAGUUCGUUACUAACAUAUUUAUAGGUAUGCUUCUCAGGUUGGUUUUAAUAAAUUAAAAGAUUUUUCAUAUUGCUUGAGGUGUUGUUUUUACAACUGGAUGCCUUAAUAACACACAUGUGGUAUAAAGAGCAUGUUUAUGAUGGUCUAUCAUACAGUUUCCUUCCUUCAAAUUUCAUUUACAAGGUAGUGGUAAUCUGAGCUUUGAUAGAAGACACUUAUCCAAUGUGCUGCAUGGUGGGAUUGAACCCGGUUCUAGUUAGUUGCAAAGCAAAUGUCUUAACCACACAGCCAUGCUUGCACCACCCAUUUCGAAAACAUUUCUUUUACUUCAGAUUAAAUCAAUAUUUAACUGCACUGAAUAGUUUAAAUAUAUCCAGAGAUGCCAUUGUUUUACUGUUCUAUUUUGCUUGACAACUUGGACAGAAACAAAAAGCAAUUUGAAUUCUCUGUUUUAUGUUUAGCAUUGUCACACGGUGAUUUAUGUAAUAGGAGGCAGUCAGAUAUUGUAAUAAAUGAUGAAUGAAUCUGGCAUGUUGAGUCCUAUAUUUUGGCUUCGGAGUGAACUACUUAUCUCUAUCAUGACAUUUUCAUGCUGCUGGAAUGAUCUUGCAUAAAAGGAAAAAAAAACCCAAAAAAACUUUGGAGUGCUUUUUCAUCUCUGUCAGUUUUAUGUCAGGGAACCAGCAUCAAAACACAGACAUUACACAUCCCAAGAAAAGAAAUUCACAAAAGCGAUUACCUCCUUUUUGGUUAGCUUAGGUCAGUCACAGGCAAAUUGCAGACUGCAGGACUUUCUAAAUGGCAUGCUUCACAAAAAAUUACCUUGAAUUUUUUUUAGGUCUGCUUGAUGAUGUACCAUGUCUCAUGGGCUGACUUCUUACAAAGAAAUAAUCCAUGUUAGGCUUAAACCAUUAUGCUACUAGGCACGUAAAAAGCACCCACUACACUCAUGGAGUGGUUGGCGUUAGGAAGGGCAUCCAGCCGUAGAAACAUUGCCAGAUCAGACUGGGCCUGGUGCAGCCUUCUGGCUUCCCAGACCCCAGUUGAACCGUCCAACCCAUGCCAGCAUGGAAAGCGGACGCUAAACAAUGAUGAUGAAUCUGAUAAUUUCUCAAACUGAACGCCACAUUCUUCAAAUGGUCUUUUGACAUUAGCAUGCUACUCAUGGAAUUUGUUUGAAGUAUACUCUUAUACUUCAGUCACUGUUUGACUGGUCCUUCCUCUAUCAUCAUCAUCAUUUAGCAUCCACUUUUCCAUGCUUGCAUGGAUCACAUGGAAUUUGUUGUGACAGAUUUUUUACGGCUGAGUCCUCUUCCUGUUGCCAACUAUCACCUGUUUCCAAGAAAGGUAAUAUUUUCACCCUUAGAUGCUUUUUUUUUCAUGGAAGACUGGAAAUGAACCAACAACACUUAUAAUGACAGCAACGCUCCUUUACAUGUCUUGACAAGGGCACAGACACACACAUACACACACACACACACACACGCACAUACAUACACAGGCAUGCACACACACACAUACAUACACAUGCAUGCGUACACACACACACAGAUACACACACACACAUACAUACAUAUGCAUGCACACACAUACACAUACAUACACAUGCAUGCACACAUACACACACACACUUCUGAACAAUGGGCUUCUUUCAGUUUCUAUCCACCAGAUUCACUCACAAAGCUUUGAUUGACCCAGGGCUAUAGUAAAAGACACUUACUUGAGGUGCCAUGCAAUGUGGGGGAACCCCAAAAACAUGAGGUUGGAAAGCAAACGUCUUGCCUUACAGCCACACCUCAUAUUAGAUGGUUGGGACAAAGCUUGUUAAUCAUGCAACCAUACUUCAAAUCAAAUAUUAUUUUGAGUUGCACAAUUGUUAAGGUGUAGUCAUGCUUCUGUGCAUAACACAACUGCUGAGGUUUGUACUGAUACCGCAGAGAGAUAUUGGGUGACAGCUGUGUAUUACUAUGGGUGACAUGGCUGUUCAGGUUGAUAGUCAUACCUCUAGGAGUGGUACUUUUGUUUAGGCUAUUAGCCAUGUUUCUAUGUACAGAAGUAGGGCAUUUCAGUUAAUACCUCUGUAUAUGUUAAUACCCCAGAAACUUUUGGACAUAGCUUUCACUUGUCAUUUCCAUUUUCACACUUCCUUUUAUUACUAUCUCCUUUGUGAGACAUUGAAAGAAUCUUUACAUACCAGCCAAAUGUCCCUCAUAUUACAUUUUAUUAGCUCUUUAGCAUUCAGAUUACUCUAUCAAAUAUAGUCUCUCUAUAUAUAAACAGCAAAAUGUGUGUGUGUCCUUUAUACAAAUCCACAAUUUUUCAGUUAAAGGGCUCGCACUUUCUAUGGUCAUUCAAAACCGUCCAAGGGUGGUCGUGCACAUCUUUACAUUUCCCCAGUCACCCCGCAAAGCCAUUAAAAAAUCAAUAGAAGUGACUUUUUUGUGAAUUUUCUAUCCAAAACCCAAUCAAAAUGCCUGAAAUUUGAUACGCCAAUUGAAUGCCAGCUAACUGUAUGUGACUGGUCGGAGAUUUGGACAGUACUCGCGUGUAUGUGCGCACGCACGCAGCUGUAUAUGCAUGCACUAGCACUAUGACCUGGCAAUGUCGGGUCAUAAUGCUAGUGCUUAUAUAGUUAUAUUCACGUUAUUUUGAAUUACUCAUGCAUUGUCUCAUAGCUUUGAGAUUUUAAUGAUAUGAUUGUUUAUUUUUAGAUUGACAUUGUGGUUUGAAAAUAAAACUGGAAGAAUAUUUGCUAAAUGCUAAAGCAGGGAUUCUCAACCAUUUUUAUCUUUGGACCCCCUUUGAUUACUAUUUUAUUCUGGUGCCCCCCCCCAUAGCCAUCCAAUGUUUAAAAACUAGUUUUAUAGAAACUUCUUUCAAAAUUCCUAUUUUGUUUUUCACACAUUCCUUUGUGUAGGUUGAGCUGAGUAAAAUGUUAGAGAAAGAAACUUAGCUAUUUCUUGCAAUACAUACCAAUACAUACAUAUAAAUCAAAAUUUUUUCAGAAGUCCUUAAACAUUAUUGUGGAUCCUCAGUUUACUAUUUCGUACGUGGACCCACAAAAACCUUAAUAUGGACCCUUGGUGGGUGAUCUGGACACUAGUUGUGAACCAGGAAGGAUACAUUGAAUAAUGAAAUUGUAGAUAAACAUAUGUCUGAAGAGCAAACAGGACGAGACUCCUUUGACCAUAGGUCUGAUUGCUUCUUGUUAAAAUGGUUGUAAUUAUGGUAUAUCAAACAAGUUCAAUAUAUAAGAUGAUGAGUAGAAAACCACUCUAAACUAGGGAUUCUCAUUCGGGGUUUGUAUGAACCCCCAGGGUCCAAAUAAGAUUUUUGAAGGUCCACAAAUGCAAUCUAGUAAAUUGGGGGGGCCCACGGUAAUUUCUCAGGGGUCAUCAAAAAAAUUGUGCUUCAGAUCAGUCAAGUUUAUAUGCAGUAAAAUGGUUAUAUGUCCAAUACACAAAAUAUAUAAACAAUUUUUAUAGAAGUCCUAAUAAUAUUUAAUUAUAAAAAUAUAAAAGGAUUUUUUAAAUAUUGAAUGAGGUUCCAAUUAAGUAAAACAAAAAUUAAAGGAGUCCCUAAAUUAACAGAAAGACAGGUCACAAAUGAUGUUGUUUAGACAGUUGUAGUUUUGGAUACACAAAACAAAAUGAUAUGGAAGCUGUAAUAAGCUGUGUCUAAAGUUCUCACUAUUGUAUACUUGUGCUUUGUAUGUGUAUGUAAAUGUGUGAAUUAUGCAUGAAUUAGAAAACAGUGAGGCUUGUAUCGUAAAAGUAGGAGUGGUCUCAGGUGGGUUGGUAUCAAAAGUGUUAAGCUUGCUUAGUGUUAUAGAGAAAAUGUAAAAAGUGAAAUUUGGUGAAAAACGAAAUUUCUGCAUAAAUGCAAAAUUGUAUUGGCACCCUUUUUUUUAUGGCUUAGUUCAAGGAGGGAGGGUAACAUCGAGUGACUGAGAAUUGUUGUGGGAGGAGGAAGAAACUACAGACCUGUUCCAAAUGAGUUGGACUCCAAUAAAAAUCAUAAACUUAAUAGCUUAAUAUUAUGUUUACCACCCAGGUGGCCUUCUGCAUAGUUCUAUGUCUAUAGUUUCAUUCACUAGAUUUGGGCUGACCUGAGGGUCUGCAGUUGAAAAUGAUUGAUUGAGAUACCAUAUAGUGGAAUUACAUUAUGUAGUAAGCACAGAAAAUUUCUUAAUCACACCACCAUGUCAGGCUCCAUAUUGCAUUCAUGGAAUGUGUAGGUUAUAAAAAUUUGAGUGUAACCAAUGAAAACAUUUAACCAUAUUUGCUGGUGCAUAAGGGCACAUGCUCCCAUAACACAAACUCCAUUUUGUAUUGAAAAAAAAAAAUAUUUUGUAGAAAAAGCAAAUUUAAUGUUUCAUCACACACUUGUAUAUUUGGUAUCCUAUCCAUAAUAUGGUUGCAUUAAAUGUAUCAUCAUCAUCAUCAUCAUCAUUGUCUAAUGUCAGUUUUUCCAUGCUGGCAUGGGUUGGAUGGCUUAACAGUAAAUGGCAAGGCCAGGGACUGCACCAAGUUCCAUUGUCUGCUUUGGUUUGGUUUCAGCUGGAUGCCCAACCUAAUGCCAACCACUUUACAGAGUGGUGCAUGGUAUUCAUCUGAGCGUGAUCAUUGCCAGAGCAGCCAACUGGCUUCCGUACCCAUGGCACGUAAAAGGGCACCAUUCGAGCGUGAUUGUUACCAAUGUUGCUUCACUGGCACGUGUAAAAAGAUUCGAGCGAGGUCAUUGCCAGUACCGCCUGACUGACCCCCGUGCAGGUGGCACGUAAAAAGCACCCACUACACUCUCGGAGUAGUUGGCAUUAGGAAGGGCAUCCAGCUGUAGAAACUCUGCCAGAUCAAGACUGGAGCCUGGUGCAGCCAUCUGGUUGCCAGCCCUCAGUCAAAACUGUCCAACCCAUGCUAGCAUGGAAAACGGGCGUUAAAUGAUGAUGCUGAUGAUUUAAAGAUUAAAAAAAAGUGCAUCUUAUACACUGGUAUUUACAUCUAGUUGACAAUAUUGUUACGUAGUGGCUAUGGGAUUGUUGUUUAGCCCUUGGUUCUCAUUGAUUGAUUAGAUUAGUAACCAAAGGAUCAAAGGUAUUGCAGCCAUCACUAUUCUGUCUUUUAAUCUUUUAGUAUUCAGAUUACUUUGUCAAAUGUAAUGCUUAUGUACUAAAAUUGUUAGAGCCUUCUGUGUCUGUUUUGGCAUGGUUUUUUUAUGACUGGUUGCCCUUCCUAGCACCAACCACUCUGCAGAGUGGGCCGAGUAUUUUUUAUGUGGCACCUGCAUAGGAAGGUCAGUUUUGGCAUGAUUUUUACAGCUGGAUGCCCUUCCAAAUUCCAACCAUUUUACAGUAUGGGGUGGAUUAUAUUUAGAAUGACAUUGUAAGGUUAGUGUAAGAGGCUAUAUCAGGCUGGCUUGAACAUGAAGCAGAUAAAAUAUUUGGGCUGGAUACGGCAGGUUGAAAUGCUAAAGGGUUAAGGUUAUGCAGGGUUAUAUUAUGUAAUGUCUUCCCUUUAUUAAAGACUGCAGAAUAUGGGAGACUGAGUUUUGUUUGCUAUUUUUAGCAAGUCAAGCAGCCAUGUAAAGGUUUCUCUGUUGACUUGAGCAGGCUGUGAAUUGGCAUUGUACUUGAAAUGUCUUAGGUUUGAAUUUUGCUGUAGUUGUUGUUAUUUAGCCCCGAGUUAACCCAGACUAAGCAAACCUAUGGUUCAAGGUAUUCCAACUGUCAUUUCUAUCAGGUUGAGUGAUGACAAAGUGGGCCUUUUGUCUCACCUCUCUAGAGCAGGGGUUGACCCAGAAAAACGUGGGAUGAACUAGUGAGAAAGGAUCUUCAAAUGUUGAGCCUCACAGAGGGGAUGACAAGGGGCCGACACUUUUGGCAGUUUACUGUACUUGAGAAGAUACGUCAAGCUACACAGGUAUCCCACUAUUGGGUGCUGGUGUCAUGUAAAAUUACCCAUGUCGGUGUCAUGUAAAAAGCACCCCAUGCUGGUGUUGAGUAAAAGGCACCUACACCAGUGCUAUGUAAAAGCACCCAGUACAUUCUGUAAAGUUUUGUUAUGGUCAUUUCUACAGAUAUUCUAUAGAAAUUAUAGCCAACACUGAUUUUUGCUACUUUUCGUAUUGAGAUGUCAGAUGGAAGACAAAAAUGGGUAAUGAAUGUGCAUGCCAUAUUUCGAGGGUUUUUGCCCCUUCAUCAACACCCAUCUAAUCCAUUCUCACCUCCAAACACAUUGGUUAUAUAACCACUGCAGCCAGUGGUGUUAUGUUAUUGGAUAUCCCAAUUUACAUUAUCAAAAGCAUUCCUGGAGCUGGUACAUAAAUAUUGAUACUCUGUAAAGUGGUUGGCAUUAGGGAGGGCAUCCAGCUAUUGAAACAUUGCUAAAACAGUCUUGGAGUUCAGGCAGCUCUCAGCUGGCCAACUUCUGUCAAACUGUCUAACCCAUGUCAGCAGGGAAAACUUUGAAUGACGAUGUUGAUGGGGUUUUUUUUUUUGCAUCCCUCUGGGAUUAAUAGAUACCUGUGAAUUAUUGGCAAAUGGGAUGUGAGUAAAUUAAUUGGCUAUACUAUCUCCUACAAAAUUAGGUCUCAUGUCAAGUUUUAAUGAAGAAAUCAAUAUUACCAAACAAAAGAAAAUACAAAAAUGGAAUUACCAAUAAUCUAGGAGAGAACGGGAGAGAGAAAGACUGAUUGACUAUAUGUGCAUGUGUUUUGAAAAAAAAAUCUCUCUUGAAUUAAUAAUUUAUUUAUGUUGUAACAGUCAUCAUUCAAAACAUUUGGUGGCAUUAAUCCUUAAAUCUUAGGAGUAAGAGUUUAAGAGAUUUUUGUUGUCAAAGAUCUGAGUGACUGGUUUUUUUGCAGGAAUAUAAAGUGGAACUUCAAUUUUAAUUAAGAAGAAUGCUAAAUAUUUAAAAAAAAAAAAAACAAGGGGAGAAUAUUUUAUAAAAUUCCUUUGUGUGGUAAGAAGAGUGCUUCCCAACCACAUGGUUCUAUGUGGCACCUUGGCCAAGUGUCUUCUACUAUUUCCUGUGACUGACCAAAACCUGGUGAGUGGAUAUGGUAUAUGGAAACUGAAAGUAGCCCAUUGUGUGUGUGUGUGUGUACACGUAUGUAUGCAUCUAUCUAUAUCUAUCUAUCUAUAUCUAUCUAUCUAUAUAUCUAUCUAUAUCUAUUUAUCCAUACACACACACUCACACAUGCAUGUAUGUAUCUGUGUGUAUCUAUUAUAUAUUUUUGUUCUCCACCACUGCUUGACAACUGGUGUUGGUUUGUUUUCAUCCCUGUAGCUAAGGGGUUUGGCCAAAGAGACCAAUAGAAUAAGUACCAGGUUUAAAAUAUAAGUACUGGAGUCAAUUUGUUCGACCAAACCUUUAAAGGUGGUGACCCAAUAUGGCCACAAUCCAGUGACUGAAACAAAUAAAAGAUAGAAGGUAAACAUUUUCAAAAUCUUAUUAAUAGUUUUUCUUUCAUUGGCAUCAUCAUCAUUUAGCGUCCAUUUUCCAUGCUAGCAUGGGUUGGACGUUUCAACUGGGGUCUGGGAAGCCAGAAGGCUGCACCAGGCCCAGUCUGAUCUGGCAAUGUUUCUACGGCUGGAUGCCCUUCCUAAUUUGGGAGGAGGUAAUGGCUGAUUGCAUUCAACCCAGUAUUUGAUAAUCCUAAAGGACGAGGACUGACAUUGGCAGAACUGGAACUUAGACUGUAAAAUCUGUGACUAACUACUGCAAGGUAUUUUCUUCAAUGCUAUAAUACUCUGAAUAGUGGUGAUGAUGAUCUCUUGAUGAAGUACAAAGCAAAGGAAAGUGAGCAGAUAGUCUUUGAAUGAACCUUGGUUUUUAUUGGUACUUAUGUAAUUGGCACCAGAGUGAGGGAAAGUAAAGGUCAGCAUAGUGAGAUGAAACUAGAUGUCACAGCUGCUGUGCUUGGUUUGAAUUGACCUUGCUCACUGUUGUAACUACCACCAAAAGCCUCAAUGUAAUCAUUUAAGUUGCUAGAAAUGGUAGCUAAAUUAUUCCUCAAAUCAUAUUCUAAUAUCUUAAAAAAAAGAUACGAUGGUCAUGUCUGUUCAGUUAAAGCUGACCAAGGUUAAUCAAAAAAUGUGUUCACUUUAUCUUCUGUAAUUAACAGCUAAAUUUCCCACAAAUUACAUGCUAAAAUCUUUAAAAAAAAAAACAAAAAAAAAAGUCAUUAUAGUCAGGUUUGAAGCACCUUUAAUUAUAGGUCUGCUCAAUUGUGGUUGAUCUGGGGUUACACAAUUGCAUUUAAAUACUACAAAGCAUUUAUGUUCCUGCCAAAAUCACAGAAGAUUUAUGUGAAACUAGAUACAAUCAAUUUCAUAGAUCCGAGUAUUGACCAUUACAUUAUUGACCUUAUAAUAAUGAUAAUAAUAAUAAUUUUAAAUUUUGGCACCGGUCCAACAGUUGGUCAAUGGGAGGAAAGUUGAUUUCAUUGACCUCAGCACUUUACUGGUACUUAUUUUAUCCAUCCUGAAAGUAUAAAAGGUAAAGUUGACCUCAGUGGAACUUGAACUCAGAACCCCAAAACAAGCAAAAUACCACUAAGCAUUUUGCCCCGUGUACUAACAAUUCCACCAAUUCACUGCCUAAGUAGUAAUAGUAGUAGUAGUAAUACAGGACUAGUGGAGGAGCAUCAUAGCCUUGUGUUGAGAGGAAUGCUUUAUAGUUUGAAUAAUUCACCUCUGGAAACAUCCCAGAAUUGUUUUGGAUUUUGGCACAGAGCCAGCAAUUUUAAGCCGAGGAAUUAAAUAUUGACUGGCACAUGAUUUUAUUGACUCUAGAGAAAUGAAAAAAAAAUUUAAGUUAACCCUGGCAGGAAUUGAACUAAGAACAUAAAGAGUUGCAUAGAAUACUGCAAUGUCAUCAUAGAAUACUGCAAUGUCAUCAUAGAAUACUGCAAUGUCAUCAUCUCAAUCAAGGGAAGACAGGAAAUUUACUAGGGGAGAUGUAUAUAUUUCUUUAUAUUGACCCCUGUAUGUAUCAGAUAGUUAUUUUAUCAUCCCUGGGGUGAUCAAAGGCAAAAAUAGGCUUUGAUGGUGUUUAAUUAAAUUUGGAAUAGUGUACCUAUACACACCACAUAUAUAUAUAUAUAUAUAUAUAUAUAUAUAUAUAUAUAUAUAUAUAUAUAUGUGUGUGUGUGUGUGUAUGAUAAAUGUGUGAUAAAUUCAGAAGUUCUUUUAUUCCUACUAUUUCUUUGAUUUUCAUGCUGUGGAUGUUUGUCAGAUGGUAUGAAAUUCUUCAAGUUUCUAGUGAAUAAAAUUAAUGAACUCUACAUGCUUGGAAUAUUCAGAUUCUUGUUGCAAAAGAAAAUCAACACCAUAUAUCUGAAAUUUUAAUAAAUAUGUCUGUGUGUAUAUAAACUACUGCAAGUCAUUUUGUCUGAUUCUUUGUGUGUGUGUACACACACACAUAAAUGUAUUUAUAAAUAUCUAUGUGUAUUUGUGUGUGCAAUGAAUACAUGUAUUUGUAUAUGUGUAUAUAUGUAUGUAAUGGAAGGUGAACAGGGGUGUUGGUGAGCAAUAAUAAAUAUGAGUGGGAGGCCAAUAAAUGUGUGUCAGUUGGGAGUAACUCAGGGGAGAGGGAGUGGUGACUGGCAGUUUACAAAUGAUGAUGUGAAGUUUGGAAUAAACAAGUUCUAAUUUCUUUACUUAACCCUUUAGUAUUCGCAUUAUUCUGCCAAAAUUAAUCCUUUUUUAUCCACAUUGUUUUGAAUUAAUCAUGCAUUAUCUUGUAGCUAUGAGAUUUUGAUGAGGUAGCUGUAAAUUUUUAAAACGAUAUUGUAGGGUUGGUGUGAGAGACCAGAUCUGGCCAGUUUGACCAUAAAACAGGCAGAAUACUUUUGGCCAGAUAUGGCCAGUUUAAAUGCUAAAGGGUAAAAGCAGCAGAACAAUACAGUUGAUUGGAAAGUGAAGGAGGGACAUGUGAUAGGUAGAUGAAGGGUGAGUUACAGGUUGCAAGAGUGUGGGGGAGAGUGGAAGAUGAAUAAAAUAAGAGUGGGGGGUGGACGAUUGUAUAUGUGGGAGGGACACACUGCAUAUUUCCUAUCAUGUUGGUCAUUUGUCAUUUCCUCUGAGGCUCAAAAUCCUGAGAUCAGCUGGCAUCACCUCAUCUCACAUCUUCCUAGAUCUCCCUUUUCUACAACUUCUGUUUAUUGUAAGUGAUUCGUCUUUUUUUGUACAGUUAUCUUCAUUGUUAUAUGUUGCAUGUUCAAACCAAUUCAGUUUUCUCUCUUGCACAUUAUAACAAUUUUCGGAUCUUUUCGGUUUGAACGGCAGUUUUUUCUAGCAGUGUCAUAUGAAAUUGUCACCCAUAAUUAUGACCCUAGAAUCGAUCUAUUGCAUUUCAAUCUAUUUUAGGGUUAGGGUUAGUUAGGGGUGGGGGGAACGGUAUCUUUUUCUUCAGAAAUGUAAAUAAACCCAAUCUGUUUCUUAAACGAGGGACAUAUUCAUACGCACAGAAUGUUGUUUACUUCAUGGUUGAAAUUGCAGAAAUUGAAGAAAAAAACAACAAAUAUCUUACAAACUAUAGAAUUUUCUCAAUAAAGCCAAGAGAAAAAGAUGUUUUAUAAACACAUUCUACCAGUGUAAGAAGUUUAAAACUUUUUAAUUACCUAGAAAUUAUGUUAAAAACUGCCGUUCAAACUGAAAAGAUCCCAAUUUUCUCCUGUACCCAGUUUUUCUCUCUACAUAUUUGUACUUUUGUCAUUCAUACACACUGACGCUGCACAUUCAGUGAAUCAUGUUUGCUUCAUUCCUUUCUAGUUUUUGCAGGUUCUCUGCAUUCGCAGGCACAUCUCACUACUAUGAAGCAUUGCAGUUCAAAUACUGACAUCAUACAGUCUGCCUUUCAUUCUGAGACAGAAGUAGUAGCUCCUUGAACUCUCUCCACCCUGUUCUUAAUGCUGGCAGCUAUACUUUCAGAACAUCCUCCACCUCUGCUAAUUAGCUAUAUAUAUAUAUAUAUAUAUAUAUAGAAGCUAUAUAUAUAUAUGUGUGUGUAUAUGUAACUGGUUAUGUUACUGUUAGAUUAUUUAAACUUUGUGAGAUAGGCGCAGGAGUGGCUGUGUGGUAAGUAGCUUGCUAACCAACCACAUGGUUCCGGGUUCAGUCCCACUGCGUGGCAUCUUGGGCAAGUGUCUUCUGCUAUAGCCCCGGGCCAACCAAUGCCUUGUGAGUGGAUUUGGUAGACGGAAACUGAAAGAAGCCUGUCAUAUAUAUGUAUAUAUAUAUAUGUGUGUGUGUGUCUGUGUUUGUCCCCCUAGCAUUGCUUGACAACCGAUGCUGGUGUGUUUACGUCCCUGUCACUUAGCAGUUCGGCAAAAGAGACCGAUAGAAUAAGUACUGGGCUUACAAAGAAUAAGUCCCGGGGUCGAUUUACUCGACUAAAGGUGGUGCUCCAGCAUGGCCGUAGUCAAAUGACUGAAACAAGUAAAAGAGUAAAAAAAGAGAGAGUGUAAUAUCAACUGAAGGAAAAACAUUAUUUCUUACAGCUUUAUUUUCCUGUGAAUUUGAUGUUAGUGUUGGUAUGCAGAAGGCAGUAGUAGUUGGCAGUUUUAUAGUAUAAGGGGAAAUAACAACGACAGAGCUCAUGCACCUUUGGUAAUAACUGUGUCUGUUGUGGAUGUUAGGAGGAAGUUGUUGGCUAGAAAUUGGAAGACGUGUGGCACCCGAGAGCAAAAGUGGGAUCUUUUCGGUUUGAACGGCAGUUUUUAACAUAAUUUCUAGGUAACUAAAAAAAUUUUAAACUUCAUAUACUGAUAGAAUGUGUUUAUAAAACAUCUUUUUCUCUUGGCUUUCUCUCUUUUCUCUUUUACUUGUUUCAAUCACUUGACUGUGGCCAUGCUGGAGCACCGCCUUUAAUCGAGCAACUCGACCCCGGGACUUAUUCUUUUGUAAGCCCAGUACUUAUUCUAUCGGUCUCUUUUGCCGAACCACUAAGUAACGGGGACAUAAACACACCAGCAUCGGUUGUCAAGCAAUGCUAGGGGGACAAACACAGACACACAAACACACACACACGCAUAUAUAUAUACAUAUAUACGACGGGCUUCUUUCAGUUUCUGUCUACCAAAUCCAAUUGAGAAAAUUCUAUAGUUUGUAAGAUAUUUGUUGUUCUUUUUCUUCAAUUUCUGCAAUUUCAACCAAUCAAUGAUGUCUGUUGAGGUGAAAAACAUUCUGUGCCAUAUGAAUAUAUCCCUCAUGUAAGAAACAGAUUGGGUUUAUUUACAUUUGUGAAGAAAAAAAGAUACCCUUCCCCCACCCCUAACCCUAACCAACCCUAACCCUAAAACAGAUAGAAAUGCAAUAGACCGAUAGUAGGGUCAUAAUUAUGGGUGACAAUUUCAUAUGACACCGCUAGAAAAAACUGCUGUUCAAACCGAAAAGAUCCAAAGUUUCUGUAAAUGUUAACAUAUCUCAAAAUUAUUUAUUGAGCGACAAUUUUUAUGUGGUUUUCCUAACAUUACCAAAUACUGAAAGAUGUAAGGAAAAAAAAAAUGUCAAUAUUUCUUUUCCAACUUCCCACCAGUUACUGAAAAAGCUGCUUAAAAAAAACAGUAUGUCAUUGAUCUGUAAGGCAUCCAAAACACAUAGCAACUGUUUGAUUAUGAUCAUAAUUCUUAAACUUUUGCAACACAUACCAUAAACUUCUUGAAUAUUUAUCGUUAUUUGCAUGUUAGUCCUAGUUGUGCAAACCUCAAGGGGUAUAGCAGCAGUUACCAUCCUGUCUUUAUUUGAAGAAUGGUGUAUCUAAUACGAGGGUCAGUAAAGUGGCCAGUAUUGACCGCUGGAGGUCUCUGCGACUCUCCAAUGGGUUUAUAAACACCUGAAAUGAUUUUGAGCAUUAAGGGUGCAAACUUAAUCUGGAAGAGAGCAGCAUUUUAAAGGCUAAAAUUUGCUAAUUUCCAGCCAAAUAUUGGUGCAGUGACUAGUAUUCACCAAACACAUAUUUCACAUUAAGUAUUCUGACUAUACCAAUAUAAUGUCACUGAAUUUUAUCAUUCUUUAUUAAUCUCAUUAAGCUAUGGACACAUAAGAGGUGCAGCGAUAUCAAAGGAAGGUUAACUGGGAAGAUAGUUUUUGUGUGUGGCAGAUGCUCAGGAGCAAUAAACACCGAAGGUGUACAGAAAACAGUUUCCAUCACAUGCCAGGGGGAAAAUCUAGAAGCAGUUGAUAACUUCUGUUACCUAGAUGACCAAGUCAGUAGCAGGGGGUGGAUGCUCUGAGAGCAUAGCUGCUAGAAUAAGAACAGCCUGGGCAAAGUUCUGUAAGCUCCUGCCUCUGCUGGUAACAAAGGGACUUUCACUCAGAGUGAAAGGUAGACUGUAUGAUGCAUGUGUGCGAACAGCCUUGCUACAUUGCAGUGAAACAUGGGCUGUAACUGCAGAGGAUAUGCAUAAGCUUGAAAGAAAUGAAGCUAGUAAGCUUGACUGGAUGUGUAAUGUCAGUGUACAUACACAACGGAGUGUAAAUGCCCCGAGAGAAAAGUUGGACAUCAGAAGCAUCAGAUAUGGUAUGCAAGAGAGACGACUGUACUGGUAUGGUCAUGUGUUGCAUAUGGAUGAGGACAGGUGUGUGAAGUGUUGCACCCUAACAAUGGAGAGAACCUGUAGAAGAAGUAGACCCAGGAAAACAUAGGAUGAGGUAGUGAAGCCUGACCUUGAAUGUUGGACCUCACAGAGGCAAUGACAAGUGACCGAGACCUUUGGAAAUAUGCUGUGCUUGAGAAGACCCGGCAAGCCAAGUGAAACUGUUGCCGUCGCCGAUGCCAGUGUUGUAUAACAAGCCUGUUUAAAAGUACCCUUCAAUCGUUGGGCAAUAUGCUGUGCUUGUAAAGACCUGUUGAGUCAAGUGAAAUCAUAGUCAUGCAUGGAUGAUGCCAGUGCUACCAAAUUGGCACCUGUACUGGUGGCACAUAAAAAGUAUCAUUUCAGCGUGAUCGAUACCAGUGCUGCCUGACUGGCUCCUGUGCCAGUGGCACAUAAAAAGCACCAUUUAAGCAUGGUUGAUGCUAAAGCUGCCUGAUUGGCUCCCGUGCUGGUGGCAUGUAAAAAGCACCUACUUCACUCUUGGAGUGGUUGGUGUUAGGAAGGGCAUCCAGCUGUAGAAAAAUUGCCAGAGUGGAUUGGAGCCUGGCGCAGCCUCCGGGCUUGCCAGUUCUCAGUCCAACCCAUACCAGCCUGGAAAGUGGAUGUUAAACAAAGAUGAUUUCAUUAAAUUUCUUUAGCUAUUUCUUAUUAAAAAGUGGUUAUAACUAAAAAGAAGAAGGAAUUAUUGUUUUUAAAUCAAGAAAUUUUUUUAUUAAUUAUACUUUCUACACACCAUCUACACCCUCAGAGUUGGUACCCUUAAUGUGGGCACAUUGAAAGAUAGAUGAGGACAGCUGCAUAAAAAAGUGUAGAGCUCUAAUUGUGGAGGGUACCUGUGGAAGGGAUAGACUCAGGAAGACAUGGGAUGAAGUGGUGAGAAUGGAUCUCUGGGUGGUGGGCUUCACUGAGGAAAUGACAAGGGAUGAUGUGGCGAUUUGCUGUACUUGGUGAGACACAUCAAGCUAUGUAAAAUCGCUGUCUUCUACACAUACAAGUUUGGGAUCCUUUCGGUUUGAACGGCAGUUUUUUCUAGCGGUGUCAUAUGAAAUUGUCACCCAUAAUUAUAACCCUAGAAUCGAUCUAUUGCAUUUCAAUCUCUUUUAGGGUUAGGGGUGGGGGGAAGGGUAUCUUUUUCUCUUCACAAAUGUAAAUAAACCCAAUCUGUUUCUUAAACGAGGGACUUAUUCAUACGGCACAGAAUGCUUUUUAACUCAAUAGACGUCACUGAUUGGUUGAAAUUGCAGAAAUUGAAGGAAAAAAACAACAAAUAUCUUACAAACCAUAGAAUUUUCUCAAUAAAGCCAAGAGAAAAAGAUGUUUUAUAAACACAUUCUACCAGUAUGCGAAGUUUAAAAUUUUUUAGUUUCCUAGAAAUUGUGUUAAAAACUGCCGUUCAAACCGAAAAGAUCCCAAGUUUGUCCUUUCAGGUGCUGGUGCCCCUUAAAAAGUGUUUGUGCUGGUGCUGCAUUUACCCACCUGUACCAGUGCUGUGUAAACACACACAUGCCGGUGGCAUGUAGGAGACACCCAGCACACACUGAUGAGUGGUUGGCAUUAGGAAGGGCAUCCAGCCAUAGAAACCAUGCCACAACAAACAACUGGAGUCAGCUAGUCAGCUCCAUGUCAAACUGUCCAACCCAUGGAGAGUGAACAUUAAAUGAUGAUGAUACUUUUUAAUUUCAUUUUAGAAAUUUUCCUGAUGGGGAUUGCCAAGUUAUCAAUGAUUCCAUGAAGAGACUAAUGAUAUAAGAAGUUUUGGUGACCCCUUGUUUAAUACCCCAACCAGCAUAUCCUUUAUUUUUGUUUUAGUGAUAGGGUUUAAUUUAAGGGAUGUUUAGCUGCUAUUUCUGUUUAAUCAAAUGACUACAUAGAGACUCUUCCAUGCACGCUUGAAGUAAGAUUAGUUUCUUGUACUCUGUUUCUGAUUGUUGUUUCUUUGCACUAUCUUUUGAUAUCAUGUUAACCCUUUUGUUACUGUAUUUACUUUGAGAUGCUCUGUGUUUCUAUCAAUUAUUUUAAAUAUAACAAAGAAUUUAGUAAAAUAACAUAGUUAUCAUUAAGCUAGUAUUAGGAAUAUAAAUUGCGACUAAUGUUUGGUGGCAUAUUUUGAUGCAAAACUUAUGAAAACAAGACAUUUGUACUACAGAGCCAGACCGGUUUCAGCCGGGUUGGUAAUGAAAGGGUUAAUGGAGUAUUUAUAUUUAUACAUAUAAUGAAAUUGGUGCUCUCGUUGUGUCUGUCGCUAAUAUGCUUGGAGUAAGCAUGAAUGUUACACAGUUUCAUUUCUCCACACUUUCUACAUAAUCAGAGAUCUUGCAUACAGUAAAUCAAUAUUUCUUAAGUGCACAGAUAACAAGUCAUUGUAGACUUAUUGUUAGAUAUAAUCUCCAGGAAAUUUAAGCUUCAAUUAAGAAAUACAGGCACUGAUAAAUUCUCUGUAUUCUGUGUGACUGUUAUUUAUGGAAUGUUCUGAUUUCUUUUAUUCAUUUCAAAUUAUUGCCAUUGUAUGUCAAUUAUAAUGAAAUCAGAUUCAAAUCCUAGUUGAGCAAACAAAAGCAACAAUUUUGAUCUUAAUUAAAACUCAUUAAUUAUAAUUAUAGUCACACAUAAUGACACCAAGAGCUAUUAAUACAUCACAUACAGACACUGAGUUGAUGAGAGAGCUUCUGCAAGGUUGCUCCAGCUGCUAGAAAAUACCAUCCAAGCCUCUUAAAUCAAGGGCCCCAACGAUAUCAAGAGAGCAGCAUUUGGUACCAGGCUGCACAAGAAGAAUAAAUUUUAAGACUUUAUUUUAUUGACCAUUGCAAUCUAGUGGGGUUUUUUUCUUUCUUUAUAUACAAGGUGUGGUGAAUAAACUGUCGUCUAAAUUAUGCAAAAUGAAAAUAACACUAACCUCAUUUUAACAGAUAUAUUGACUGAAAUUACGUAGAAAUAUCUUGAAAUGCCAAUGAGUAAAUUUAUUCAAUAAAAUUGCUAUUGGUUUCAACCAUGGCCUCCAGAUGAUUUCAGAAUCUCUAGCAACUCUUCUGGAUGGUCUCCUUGUUUAAGUUGGUCAAUGCUGCCAUAAUCCUUGUCUUCAGUUCAUUUUUGAAGGAGUUUUGUUGGUCUCUCACUCCACUGCACCUCACACAUAAUAAUCAAGGGUGUCAGGUCUGGGGAGUUAGGUGACCAGAUGUUAGGGGUGAUGUGGUCACAGAAAUUGUCUGACAGCCAUGACUGGGUUCUCCUGCUUGUGUGUCAUGGUGGAGAGUCCUGUUGCUGAGGACAUAUGAUAAAAUUAUGAAUAUUGAAUUCAACAAAAAAAUGCAUAUACAGUAUCGCGGUUUAUUAUUUAAGCUUUCCUCUGUGGUGUUGUUUUGCAUUUAUAAUAAAAUAAAUAUAUAUAAAUUAUAAAAAUAUUAUAAAAAAUAUAUAUAGAAGAGUGGGGUUUGGAACGUAACACCCGCGAUAGUCGAGGGAUUACUGUAAUUAGUUGAUUCACCACUAUUUCCUGUGGAACACUAGAAUUCCGAGACUACCAUUUGGGAAACGCUGAAUUAGACUACACUUCAUUAAUGAGGUUUAAUAAAGUCGAAACAUGGCAGGGGCUGUCAGUUACUGUUCAUGGUCAAACUCAUAACUGCAUUCCUUAUUGAAUAUUAAGCUUAGUUAGAAUUCAAAAAUUACCUUGCUCUGCUUUUUUAUUUUUAAACAUAGUUAUUUAGAAAAUUCUUAUUCUCAUCUGAAGAAAAUUGUGUUUAUAUAAUUUUAAUUAAUUUGCAUCUUCCUGACUUACGACUAGCCCCCACCUCUGUGCCUAUAGUAGAAAGGUUUAUUAUUCUUAGCUGUUGUUUUAGAGCAGCCUUUCUUUUUCCAAGCACUGGAAAUGGAAAAGUAUCCGAAUUGAGUUUAUGGUGUAUAAAAGACAUUAGCUGCUGGAUAAUCGUUUAGAAAGAACGCCAUUCACAAUUGUUAGUAAGAAGGAUGGCAUAGUUUAUACAAAUAAAUAUUGGCUUUCAAACGGAGGAAGUCCUGCCUCUAACAGUAAAGUGUGAAAAGCUGUAGGUGAUGAUGUCUUUCAAUUUACUUCGUUUUUGAGGAAAAGUCAGUAAGACAGCACAAACGUAAUUAUUUACACCAGGAUUUGUCUUGCUGUUUUCCUUGCCUCAAUAUUUAAAAAAAUUUCCUCUAAUACAUUUUUAGCUCUCAAACUGCACUUCUCUCCGACACACGGAAACGAGAGGAAAUUAAGAGUAAUGAUGGAAACUAUUUCAAGUAAACUUUUCGCACGUGUACUUUUACAUUCAAUGUGGUAUCAUUUAAAUUGAAACAAUAAUGGAAAAUGUACAAAAAUAACUCUGCUAUCCUGGAUGACCGAAACGAAUAAGUUAAUACUUCAAAAUAGGCUUUUUUUUUCAGUGCCCCUCCUCUUUUAAUAAUAAGAAUAAUGGGAUCUUUUCGGUUUGAACGGCAAUUUUUUCUAGCGGUGUCAUAUGAAAUUGUCACCCUUAAUUAUGACCCUAGUAUCGAUCUAUUGCAUUUAAAUCUGUUUUAGGGUUAGGGUUAGGGGUGUUGGGAAGGGUAUCUUUUUUUCUUCACAAAUGUAAAUAAACCCAAUCUGUUUCUUAAACGAGGGACAUAUUCAUAUGGCACAAUGUUUUUUUACCUCAAAAGACGUCAGCGAUUGGUUGAAAUUGCAGAAAUUGAAGAAAAAAAACAACAAAUAUCUUAGAAACUAUAGAAUUUUCUCAAUAAAGCCAAGAGAAAAAGAUGUUUUAUAAACACAUUCUACCAGUAUACGAAGUUUAAAAUUUUUUAGUUACCUAGAAAUUAUGUCAAAACUGCCGUUCAAACCGAAAAGAUCCAAAUAAUGAUGACUUCUUUCCUUCUCUGAGUGUCUUAUUAAUACUUUGCAUGUACCACGUCAUCGCAUUGUUUUUUCUGCUAUAUACAUACAUACAUAUAUAUAUAUAUGCAUGCAUAUAUAAACACUGGGCAAGGCGAAACUGGAUAAGUGUUCUCUUAAUGUCAACACAAAUAUCAUCUUCGGGUUGCUUGUUGAGUUCUUUGUGCUUAGCAAAACAAUAACCAGCACAAACACACAUCUUUCUCAAUAAUAUAUUAUAUAUUAUGAAUUCGUAUGACCUCUGUAAGUCACAACGUUUUCCUUGUGUAACUAUAUAAUUAAUUCUUUGGAAAGGUACGAAGUUUCACACCCUGAGCGAAGAUCUUGGAAAUCUUGGCAUUCGUUCAUCUAUUAAAACGGAGGAAAGCAUUCAUAGAUAUAUUCAAAAGCAAUCCAAUUACGACCGUUCUCUUCUUUUCUUUUUCUCGAUACAAUGUAUCUGAGACUUUUAUCUAGUAUAUAUUUAGUUUUUUAUGACAGUAACAUAUGUUUUGAGGGAGAUUCACUGUACUGUUUGUAUCAAGUCGUGAGACCACAUUGUGUGUCCUUUAAUUUGUUCGCUAAAAUGGGAACACAGUUUUAGUGAUCUUUGGCUAGUUCCAUAUGAAUACAUUGAAAAAUUGUUUAGAUUUCUUAAAACCUGUUGCUCUUUCUGUUUGGUUUGAUCUCUAGAGACAUUAAUAAUCUUCUUUUGUCUAACCGUUUAAUAGCACAAUUAACGGUAUCAUUAAGCCGGUGGCUUUAAUCCGGCUUAAUUUAUCUAUUUAAGCUAGGAUUACAUAUUUUAAAAAUUAUUUUGUAAUUGCUCUUGAAGUCUCUGUUGUCAUAUGACUUGCUAGAAAUACUAGCCAAAUCUCCCUCAAAUCACACCAUAGUGUCAUAACGAAAAAGAGUAGGAUUGGGACCUUUUCGGUUUGAAAGGCAGUUUUUAGCAUAAUUUCUAGGUAACUAAAAAAUUUUAAACUUCGUAUACUGGUAGAAUGUGCUUAUAAAACAUCUUUUUCUCUUGGCUUUAUUGAGAAAAUUCUAUAGUUUGUAAGAUAUAUUUGUUGUUUUUUCUUCAAUUUCUGCAAUUUCAACCAAUCACUGACGUGUAUUGAGGUAAAAAAACCAUUCUGUGCCAUAUGAAUAUGUCCCUCGUUUAAGAAACAGAUUGGGUUUAUUUACAUUUGUGAAGAAAAAAAGAUACCCUCCCCCACCUAACCCUAACCCUAAAACAGAUUGAAAUGCAAUAGAUCGAUACUAGGGUCAUAAUUAUGGGUGACAAUUUCAUAUGACACCGCUAGAAAAAACUGCCGUUCAAACUGAAACGAUCCUAGGAUUGUAUUAGAGAAUGUAGAACACAAUAUAUAUUAUCUUGUCUUUCACAAUGACGUGGGAUUGUCUUUCAUGACUAUUUGGCUCGGUCAUUUCAGAUCUGGCGCUAACCCGUUUUGUUUCCUCCUUUUUAAUGCCCUUUAUUAUUGGUAUAUGUGAAGGAGACAGCCACCGUUUCAUCAGAUUGUGUUAUAUCUGUCGCUUUAAAGGUGAGAGGGUAGUGGUUGUGAAUGGUUAUUAAUGACAAUAGUGAUUUUGUUUGUGACACCAAGAAAAAAAUGUUGCUUUGGUUCAGGUCAGCUCUAUUUUGGUGUGUAUAUCAGAGUCUGCAUUUCAAUGUAUCCUUGUUUAUGUAAGAUAGUUGGGUGUGGGAUCUUUUCGGUUUGAACGGCAGUUUUUUCUAGCGGUGUCAUGUGAAAUUGUCACCCAUAAUUUUGAUCCUAGAAGCGAUCUGUUGCAUUUCAAUCUCUUUUAGAGUUAGGGUUAGGGGUGGGGGAAGGGUAUCUUUUUUCUUCAUGAAUGUAAAUAAACCCAAUCUGUUUCUUACACGAGGGACAUAUUCAUAUGGCACAGAAUGUUUUUUUUUUACCUCAAUGGAUGUCAGUGAUUGGUUGAAAUUGAAGUAAAACAACAACAAAUAUCUUACAAACUAUAGAAUUUUCUCAAUAAGGCCAAGAGAAAAAGAUGUUUUAUAAACACAUUCUGCCAGUAUAGAAAGCUUAAAAUGUUUUAGUUACCCAGAAAUUAUGUUAAAAACUGCCGUUCAAACCGAAAAGAUCUGGGGAAUGUUGCCUAGUUGAGAUCCUCGGUCGUAUGUACAGAACAAUUGGGCUCUUUAUAACGCAAUGGAAUUUACCGAGGAUGUUAUUUGAUAUCCGAUAGGAAGGAUUCUUAUGUUUACGCUACAUAUAUGCUUGCGAAAUUGUGAACCAUUUUUAAAGUUUUGUUGAUCCAAUGAUGAGAGCAUCCAUACUCAAGUGUAUAGAAAGGCAGUGGAUAUUUGCCAGAAAAAAAAAAAAAAUCAUGUGACAAUGCAAGACGAUCGAUGCACUAUUAACAUUGUAUCUGCAUGGGUAUAAAUUGCAAAAUAAGUUUCGAGCCCGCUAGAAAUUUAUUUGUACACUUUAUGCAUACUUUUCAUGUUAUAUGAAUAUAAUGAAAUGGGAUUCUACUGUCAUCACAGCAAUCUUUUGGUAUACCAUAUUUUCAGUUGCUCGAUAAGAUAAUGUAAAUAGUAUAACGAAUAGUCUAAGUAUAGGCUGCUUUCUUCUAUCAUAGUUCGACAUUUCUCAUGGCACCAGCAGAUAAAAUGGAAAAGGUGUUGCCCCGGAGAAUAGCGAAGGAGAUGCGCUGGAACAGCCACUGACUUACGAGGACUUGCACUUGCGAUCAGCAAUCUCCGCCGCAAUAGGGGUGAGCAGGGAUAUGGUCUUGGAGCCAUGGACGCCAGAGCUCUCAGAUGUUACAGACUUGACCAUAAACCUGUCAGAGAGCGACUGAUACCAUAACAGUUUGUCUUUUCUCAGUCUGACGAGCAGCGGAGCCUGGGCUGGAGAAGGUGUCACAGCAUCUAGAAUCCCAGAUGAGGGGCCUACCGCAUCGGAACGGAAAAACUGUUAUACUGUCUGGCAGUUUACUGUCCCCUCGGUCUAUCCCCGUUGGCUCGAGCUGGGAAGGGAAGCUUACAGCAUCUCGGUUCUGUUUUAUGAUCUUGUCAAGGGUGUCAUGAUGUGGGAGGUGAUCAGGACUAUGACGGCAGGACACUGUGGGUGGAGGCUAAAAUAAUCCACUGCACAUCCGCAGCGGCAUUCAUGAGGCUCGCAGAUCUGGAGACCAAGCCUCAGAUAAACGCCAAUGUCCAGGCGGUCACUAUCUUUUCGUAUUAGUAAGAUGACGUCAUUUACCAUCUUUUUCAGUUUAGCUUCUUAAUGUCAUCUGGGAAACUAAUGACCUAUGAUUCCCGUCAUCACUUUUGGCUUCUAUAGCAAUUUACCUCUAAUUUUUUAAAGGACACUAAACUUCAUAUUAACUCUGCUUUGAUCAUAAGCUUACUCAGUCAUGGUUGAUCUGGUAUUUAGCACCACUAACAACAAUAACCGUCAGCUGUAUGCUGUUUCAAAGUAUGACAGUUAAUUUCUCAAAUGGCUACAAUUCACAAGCAAAAUAGGAACUACCUGUCACUAUUAGCGGUAGUAACACUAUAAAACUGUCGAAUGUUGAGAUUAUGAUAUUGAAAAAAAUUCUUUUUCGAAAAUACCAAUUUUUUCCUUCACAUGCCGGUUGCUUACGAUAUUUCCUCCACUUUCUUUCUGUGAUCAGUAACCGAAAGAAUAUAAUAGAUAACUGUACGUAAAUAAUUAUAUCCACGAAUGUUUAUCACAGCAUACAUAAUCAGUUUUCAGAUAAUAAUUUUAUUCAUUUCGAUUAAAGCAAAGCAGAUUUAAAUAAUAUAAUGACACAUCAAUAAGAUUACUCAUGGCCAUAAUAAAGCAAUUCGUGCAUGAAGUUUUGCUAAUGACAAAAAGCCAUAUGUGAUGCGAGAACCACAGUUUAGGUGACAGCUGGUCUGUAUUAAGAAUGUCCAAGUAGAUUAUUUGAGUUUCUUUGGCAGAUAAGCAAAAUACCUGGAAAUGUUCACCAGUCUUGUUAUUACACGUUAAUUAGCAGAAACUACUUUUGCAUUAAAAAUUUCCAUGCGAGCAUAUAUCAUAGUUUAGUGAAUGACCUCAAAUAAGCUCGUUAAUUUAUUUUCUUAUUAUAUAUAAAAAAAAAAAAAAUGUUUAAUCAUGCAUCUCAAUCUGUUUGUUUGGAGAACAGGAUUUUAUAAAUGAGAUUAAUUUAACAAUGAUGAAGAAUUCUAAAGAAAAUUAAGGGUAGCCUGUUGCUUUUAGUUCAUCAUCUGCUUUAUUUAAAACUAGCAGCAUAGCCCGGCGUUGCCUGGGUAUGUAAGGGCCCCUAGUAGGCAACGACUAAUCCCAAUCUAGUCCUUUCCCUCUAGGGAACAAAGGCGCAUGUGUAGGUUGCAAUGUCUUCUCUUCAUUCGAAUACUUCUGUGUAUUCGAUGUUCCUAGCUGUCCCUUUGGGCGAAAACAUGAAAACAUCAUUGCGCCUCCCAACGCGUGAACAGCCCACGUACAGCCCAGAAAAUGUUUUGAAUAUAAAAAACUUAGAUUCUCGACCCCAUGUCGAUUUUUUUUCAGAACUGGGGGAACUUUUCAAAAUUUUCGCUGCGUUAGUUUUGAAUUAUGACAUUGGGCUAUGUGUGUGUCAAGUUUCAUCAGAAUCGGUUGAAAGCCGUGGUCAGAGUGAGGGUACAACCUGACAGACACACAGACAGACAAACUGCCAUUUAUAUAGAGAGAGAUUUACAUGGAACACAACGGUUCCAAGGAAAGAAGGUUGAGUGUUUUGCAGAUUUCUGUUCUUAGUGGGUGAAUGUGUGUUCCAAGAGGAGUAAAAAUAUAUGAGUUUGAUAGUGUGAGUCUGCUAGUGUGAGUGGAGACCGGGCAUGGUUAACCGUUUUCGAGAAGCGGGCUGUACUACUAAAAAAUUGAAGGUAAUUUUUCAUUAGACAUGCUGUUCAGAAAGCCCCAUAGAUUGCCUAUGUCUGGUGCAAGACGGUUCUUUUUGCUACAUAGCAUUUGGUCAGUCAUAAUUGAGGAGACUCUGCUAAAGGCAAGAAUUUGCUGCUCUCACGUCACUAAGUUCUUGACAAUUCAUAUUGCCAUCCAAGCUCUCUCUUUUGUUUUCAGAGCUAGUCUCUUAUUGUGCUCCAGAACAAAUCUGAUGAGAUAGAUCUGUAAUGAUGUCGUCACUAGAUUUCAUUUGUGUUUAUCGGCCAGAUUUUGGAUCUUUACCUUUUGACCGACAGAUUUAAAAAAUAAUUUUUUGUAACGAAACACUUUCAAACUUCGGACACUGGUAGGAUGUGUCAUAUAAAAUUAUCUAUUACUCUUAACAUUUUUGAGAAAAGGUUAUAUUUACCAAGUUAUUUCACGUUAAAGUUGUCGUAUUUCGGUAAUUUCAACCAAUCAGUGAUGUGUAUUCAGCUGAAUAAGAAUACUGCUGUUGUCAACAAGGACUUCUGGCAGUGUAUAUUUCGUUUGUCACUGUUAUUUAUGACAACCCUAACCCUAAAACCUUAAAGCUAAAACCAAUACAAACGCACAAAUGAUGUCGUAAAUAACAGUGACAAACGAAAAAUACACCGCCAAUAGUUAUUGUUGACAAACAACAGUAGUAAUUUUAUUCAGCUGAAUACACGUCACUGAUUGGUUGAAAUUACCGAAAUACGAGAACUUUAACAUGAAAUAACUUCGUAAAUAUAAGUUUUUCUUAAAAAUGCUAAGAGUAAAAGAUGCUUUAUAUGAUGCAUUCUGCCAGUGUCCAAAGUUUGAAAGUGUUUAGUUACAAAAGAUUAUUUUUUAAAGCUGUUGGUCAAUAGGUAAAGAUCCCAAAUGAAUUUUCUGUGAAAAUAAAGAGGUAUGGUUAUGACUGGGAUUCCAUGGCUUAUAUUCGAGCGAGACCAGUGUUGUUGUGAGGGUUCUUUGUGCUUGAGUGCAAAUACUAGAUUGGCGCCCCCAUUUUUAAUUAACAAGCAUGGUAGGCAAGAGAAAAAUUUAUAACCCUUCACGCAUCCUACCCUGAGGUAGAGGGGAAAGACUUCUCCCUCCUCGUCUCCUUGCUAGGGGUCUUAUCACAGCCAGUCAGCUCAAACUCACUUAACAUAAAAAAAAAAAAAAUUGGCAAGACUUCCUUUUGUACCCCACAAAAAAACACCCCCUCUAUUUAUUUAUUUUUCUACACAAACCCUCGUUUUCGGCUACAGAGAAAAAAAAAUUGGCAUUUUAAAAUUACCCACUGCCUAUGUUCUUCAUUUUUAACUUUUUCAGAAUUUUUUUUUUUUUUUUUUUUCAAAAUAUGGAGAAUAUGGAUUCUGAAAAGAAUUACCAAAACUUUUUGUGGUUACGGUUAGGGUUUUAGAAUUAGGGAAAAAAGUGAAAAAUGAAGAAAUUGGGAGGGGUGGGGCGAAAAUUUCAAAAUGCUGGUUUUUGGCAAUUUUCCGGAAUCUCCGUAUCCGAAAACAGGGGUUUUGGACACAAAAAAAAAAUUGUGGAGAAAAUGGUGGUGGGGUAAGUCUUCCCCAAAAAAUUAUUCACAAACAAAAGCCAAUCUAUAGAUAUAUUUUCUACUUAAAAAAAAAAAGAAAGGUAGGUAGUGGUGGUCAUUUUGUUGAAUACGUAUGCAAACAAUAACUUCUGUUACGAAACAGAAAGCGACCACAUAGAUAUAUGUUGAACUUGUCGAAUGUCUACAAAAAUUCUGAAGUACUUUGUUUUAUUGUUUAAAAAAUGUAUUAUAAAACAGUAAUUAAGUUGGUUUAAUUAGCCUUAGUAGUCACAGACUCCCACAUUUGCUCAAAAAGUAUUAUUUACACUACGCGUGUGAAAUUGCUGAAUGUCUACAAAAAUUCCAAGAUGAGCUAUUUUGUCUCUAAAACAUAUCAGAAAAUGGUAAUUAACUCAGAUUAAUCUUAGUGUCCACUUCCGUAAGAUGAGGAUUUAUUUGUAAACUGGGUGACUAGCAUGUCGUUGUAUACGUUGUACAUUCGACAAUGUUUCUCUUUCUCGAAGUUUCUAUAAUAUUGCUUGGAUCUUUUCGGUUUGAACGUCAGUUUUUAACAUAAUUUCUAGGUAACUAAAAAAUUUUUAAACUUCGUAUACUGAUAGAAUGUGUUUAUAAAACAUCUUUUUCUCUUGGCUUUAUUGAGAAAAUUCUAUAGUUUGUAAGAUAUUUGUUGUUUUUUUUCUUCAAUUUCUGCAAUUUCAACCAAUCACUGACGUCUAUUGAGUUAAAAAACAUUCUGUGCCGUAUGAAUAUGUCCCUCGUUUAAGAAACAGAUUGGGUUUAUUUACAUUUGUGAAGAAAAAAAAGAUACCCUUCCCCCACCCCUAACCCUAACCCAGAUUGAAAUGCAAUAGAUCAAUACUAGGGUUAUAAUUAUGGGUGACAAUUUCAUAUGACACCGCUAGAAAAAACUGCUGUUCAAACCGAAAAGAUCCUAAUAUUGCUUUCCAGUUUUACGGGUAGGUAUUAUUUUAUCGAUCUCAAAAGGAUGAAAGGCAAAGGGCAAAAAUAAAGGAUACAUACACCGGAUGGUUAGGGUUUUGUUACGCUGAAAACGGGUGGUGUACGUAUUCUUUACCUUCGCCAGGCAGAGUUGACCUCAGUGGAGUUUGAGCUUAGAAUAUGAAGAUGGAUGAAAUGCCGCUAAGCAUUUUGGCAAUAGCGUAUCUUUCAGUUUUUACGUAACUUCGGUAUAAGUACCGGAUACAUUUCAAGAAAGUGUUUUUUUUAUAUAUGGGGGGUUAGGGUUAGGAGUGGAAGAAAAGGGUUUCUGUUAUCUUCAGAAAUGUAAAUAAAGUCACGUGUGUACUUAUACCGAAGGUUCGCCCUUAUUUCUUAUAAGCAAACAUAUAGGCAAACUUAUUUCUUUGUUAAACCUAGUUUCUUUUACCGAAACGCUAAUAUAGCGUAAACACACUAACACUGGAGGUUGAGGACACACACUAUAUCUUCGGCUUAAGGAUAUAGAAGACACUCACUCAAGGUGUCAUGCAGUGGCACUGAACCUGACAUCAUAUAGUUGGAGAGCAAACCUCUAACCACACAGCUGCACCUGUGUAUGUAUGUAUGUAUGUAUGUAUGUGCGUGUGUGUGUGUGUGUGUGUGUAUGUAUAUAUAUAUAUAUAUAUAUAGAUAUAUAUAUAUUGUUUGUUCCUUCUCGAGCCACGCCUGGCUCAUUAGGGCCGAUUUCCUUGGCAUAUAGGUUCCCCAUCUGGACGGGAAAGAGUGAGAGAAAGUUGUGGCGAAAGAGUCAGCAGAAGUUCACCAUUACCUUCUGCUGAAGCCGCAUGGAGCGUAGAUGUUUUGCUCAUAAACACACAUUGUCCAGUCUGAGAUUUGAACCCGUGAUACCUACACACACACACACACACACACAUAUAAAUUUAUUAAGUAACGAGAAGAUAGAUUUGGUACUAAUCUUUAUUUUGUACAAUAGUCGUUUCGACAGAUCCUGCUAUUGUCCCUUAUGGGUGGGACUCCGUUCAACAUGUAAAAAUCUACGGGGGAAUAUAACUCAAAUGGGCCAAAGGCAUGAAUUUAUGCAAAUGAAAGUGUUAUGUACUGAAUGACGUACACGCCAAAAAAAAGGCCGUAAUUAAUUGAUAUUUGCCUGUUUAUACAUGUAAUCUUGUGGUUGAAGUAAAUCAAUUGAAAAUUUGAAUUGGCUCAUAAACGGACAUGUUCACUUGUUAUACGUGUUGUGUGUACAUUAGCAUGAUCACUUUAUUUUUAUCUGCACUCUCUCAUACACUUACACACACCUACAGACACUGCUGCACCCACACACUCAUACUGAUACUUAUACACACACACAUACACUGAUACAUGUAUACAUUGAUUCGAAAUUCAAGCACACACACACUGUUAUUAACUAACUCACAGUACAAAAGUAAUGUGAAGGAAUUAUACAAACACCAGAGCAGAAAAUUGGUGAGUGAAGGAAAGAGGAAGAAAAAAGAAAAAAAAAAAACAAAAAAACUCCUAGAAUCCAACACGUUAAUCAUUUAAACUGAAACAGUCUGUAGGUCAAGAUGUCGCGAUUUCCGGUUUCUGAUAAUGAUAAUUUGGUCUGGAAGCUUUUCAAAGAGAAAACAUUCUCGUUUUUCUUUUCUUUUUUUUUUUGAUAUAUAUAACUACAUGUGACUAACUGAAUAAUAACAUAUCACAGAAUAUCAAGUGUAUAAUAAACAUAUAAAAGAGUCUCUUUUGCUUGUCAUACAUUUAUAUUUUCAUUUAGCAAACAUUUUAAAAUUUAGAACUCUGAAGAAAUUUUGGUGUUAGGAGUGGAGAAGAUUUUGUGUAAAGUGAGGUCUUGUUUAAAAGAUUCCCCAACAACCAGAAUUUUUUCAAAUAAUUCUCAGUUUUUUGAAAUUUUUAAUUUUCUAUGCCACAGCUCAGUUAUGUGGUAAGAAGCUUGCUUCCCAACCACAUGGUUCUUGGUUCAGUCCCACUAUGUGACACCUUGGGCAAGUGUCUUCCACUGUAGCUUCAGGCUGACCAAAACCUUGCGAGUGGAUUUGGUAGAUGGAAAUUGAAAGAAGUCCAUCGUAUAUAUAUAUAUAUAUAUAUAUACUCUUUUACUUGUUUCAGUCAUGUGACUAUGGCCAUGCUGGAGCACUGCCUUUAGUCGAGCAAAUUGACCCCAGGACUUAUUCUUUGUAAGCCUAGUACUUAUUCUAUCGGUCUCUUUUGCAGACUCACUAAGUUACAGGGACGUAAACACACCAGCAUCAGUUGUCAAGCGAUGUUGGGAGGACAAACACAGACACACAAACACACAAACAUACACACUCACACACACACACGUAUCUAUAAAUACAUACAUACGAUGGGCUUCUUUCAGCUUCCAUCUACCAAAUCCACUCACGAGGAUUUGGCCAGCCCGAGGCUAUAGUAGAAGACACUUUGCCCAAGGUGCCAUGCAGUCAGACUGAACCAGGACCCAUGUGGUUCAUAAGCAAGCUACUUACCACACAGCCACUCCUACACCUUUAUAUAUAUAUACAUAUAUAUAAAGGUGUAGGAGUGGCUGUGUUUGUCCCACUCCAUCCCUGUUUAAGUCUCCACAACUUAGUGGUUCAGUGAAGGAGAUGAUAGAAUGAAUACUAAGCUUGAGAAAAAGAAAUAUGUACUGGGGUCAGUUCAUUUGACUAAAAAUUCUUCAAGCCAGUGCCCUAGCAUGGCCACAGUCUAAUGACUGAAAUAGGUAAAACACAAAAGAUGUGUAGUAUUGUAUACUGAUAAAAAUCACAUUCAUUUUCUUUAGAAAUUAAUUAUUCUUUCUAAUUUUGGCACAAGGCUUUUUUAUUACACAUAUGUAUCUAUGACAAAUAGUACACUUCAUCUCUAAUAGCUCUCACCUUCAUACAUACACACACACAUUAUAUAUAUAUAUAUAUAUAUAUAUAUAUAUAUAUAUAUAUACAUACAUGCAUAAUUGCAUAAUACAAACACACACACACUCACAUACACACACACACACACUCACAUAUAUACAAACACACUUUAGUAUAUAUGGUGGAGAUUCUGAAAUCAUCUGGAGGCUAUGGUUGAAACCAAUAGCAAUUUUAUUGAAUAAAUUUACUCAUUAGCAUUUCAAGAUAUUUCUACGUAAUUUCGGUAAAGAGUGGAAAAAGUCAGUUACAAGACUCCAGCACUCAAUUGGUAUCUAUUUUAUUGACCCCCAAAAGGAUGAAAAGCAAAGUCAACUUUGGUGGAAUUUGAACUCAGAAUUUAAAGACAGAUGAAAUGCUGCUAAACUUUUUGUCCAUGCAAAUGCUUGAAUGAGAUGAACCCAGCAUGCUCUGCUGGGUGUGUAAUGUUAGUGUGCAUGUAUGAUAAAGUAUUUUAAGAGAGAAAUCUUUAUAUAUAAAAUUCAAGUUGUGUGUGUGAGACUCAGUCUCCUCCGAUUUAGAUUCCUAACUACUCCAUUUUGCGGUGCAUUUUAACCAAAAGCGGGUAUCUUAUAGUCGUUAUUCAUAUCGAGCCCUUCUGGGUAGCGUGUGUCUACGAUGUAAAAAAAAAUUUACCAUAAAUUUUCUGCAUUUUUAAUGAUUUUUGCUUGGGUUAUAUAAGGGAAGUAACUCUCUAAAAAUGCUUAUAUAGUUAUUUCCCUUACAAACCCGAGCAACGCCGGGCGAUACUGCUAGUUGGAUAUAAGAAGCAUCAGAUGUAGUUUGCAAGAGGGGACUAUGCUAGUAUGGUUAUAUGAUGCGUAUGAAUAAAGACAGCUGCAUAAAGAAGUGUCGGUCUCUAAAUGUAAAGGGAACUUGUGGAAGUCAAAGGCCCAGGAAGACAUGAGAUGAAGUGGUGAGAAAUGAUCUUCAGGUAAUUGAGUCUCACAGAGUAGAUGAUGAAAUAUUGAGAUAAAUGGCAAGAUGCUGGAGAAAACCUACCCAGCGAAGUAAAAUGCAUAUUCAUGAGUCCCCUCUCUCCCAACCCACCCAUGCUCACCACUGCUGUUUCCCUACUUCUCCAUUCUCCCUCAUGUGUUUACCAGCCUACCUGCACACAAUAUACUCCUGUUAAAUCCCUUCCCUUCACCUCCAGCUUUCACUCUCCUUUUGAAAUUCUGUGAACCCACUCACCUAUACACCCCCUUGAAUCCCUAGUUCACUCACCUUAUACACCAUCCUGUAAUUUGGAUAUACAGCUUCUGCCCCCACUUUGUCACAUCUUCACCACCUUUCUCUCUUCUUUUCUCCAUCAAAGGAAGCCAUCUCUCUUCUAACACAAGGCACCUUUCUCUCCCUCUAUAUUUACCCAUAACCAGUUGAUGACCUUACUGCUGCUGGUGUCAUGUGAAAAGGCCCCAGUACAUUCUGUUAAAUGGUUGACAUUAGGAAGGGCAUCCAGCCAUAGAAACCAGGCCAAAACUAUCAAGGAUAUUCAAAAUGUGACUAUUCUAGUGUUUUGACCAUCUCAAUCCUGUUUUUGGAAACAUCCUGUGCCUGUCCCACCUUUGAAAAUCCCUUGUUGGUUUGUUUAUCUCCUGAUAACUUAAUGAUUCAAAAAGUGACUGAUUCAAAAAGUGACUGAUAGAAUAAGUACUAGGUACAUGGACUCACUCUCUCUGCCAAAUUGACAUGGGUACAGUAUGCUACAUGGUCGAGGUGAUUGCAGAGCAAUAUGAAAUGAAGUGUUUUGCUCAAGAAUGCAAUGCACCAUUUGGUCCAGGAAUUGAAACCGUGAUUUUGUGAUUGGCAUGAAACAUCGUAACCACUAGGCCAUGCAUCCUUAGCAAAAGACAAGAUGGGAAAACUUGGAAUGUGAGAUGGUUACAGUUAGACUGACUACUUUUCAAAAAGAAAUAAAUAAAUAAGACGAGCACUCAGUACAAACCUUUGUCAAGGCAACACCAACAUCCUUUCAACGAUUAGCCAGAGGUGAUUUUUAAAAUGAGAAUAUCUGAAAUAAACCCAACUGCUCUUACAAAUGAGAAUACUAAAAAUGAACCUGACCGCUCUCAAAAAUUAAGUAAAAAAACAGGAAAAAUAAUUCAGAAUCUUUGUAUGGUUCCAGGUCAACCCCAAAAUCUAAUCAGUUUGUGCCAGACAUGAGGCCAAACAAGUUUCAUUUGAAUCCAUCCGGCGGUUCUUGAGAAAUCUUGUCCAUGGACAAACAAACAAACAAACCUCCUUAGCAAAGGCAGAGAUAAUAGAACGAAAGACUGAUCAUGGCUGGAACUCUUAAAUAUAGAUGGGAUAGUUGUAUUUGGAAUGCUUUUGAAGGAAGGUCAGACAUUCAGAAAGAUACAUAUUUUUGUGCAUCUGUGCACUGACAUCCAUAUACAUGCUCAAAUAAAUCGGACACUUUGUUUUCCAUUUUGAAAAUGUUUUUGUUUCAGUACAGUAAACUUUACAUGCCAUGUGUUCAAACAAUAGAUAUUGUUUUUAAUUAUUCACAAGAUGCACAUCUUUUUUAAGUAGCAAACUCAUCUGUGAAAGAAAUCUGAAGAUGCAAUCAUAAGUCAACAGUCUUGUAACCUUUUUUUAGCUUUGUAAACUGAGAUUAUAUCUGAUGACAAAACAGACUGUUAUUUUUAUCGUUAUACACUCAACUGAAUAGAUGUUCUGUGUGGUUGUCAUUGACUUUUAAUUGCUAUCACGUUAAACAUUAAGAGAAUAAAAUAACUUAAACAUAAUGUAAUUCUGAUUUUUUUUUUAUUCAAGCUAUGAAUACUGACCAUAAAGCAAGCUAUUAUGUUUAAAAGAAUUUUAUUAGGUUAUUGUCUGUUCAAGAAAAAAAAAAAACACAGAAUCAUCAUCAUCAAUCCUUGGACAUUAUUGUCUCGAGUUCUAUGACUCACAUGGCUGAUGACCUGGUUUCCAUGACGUUUAAAUGACAGAUCACAGCAUUCCUCUGAACUGGAAUGCUAGUCUGUCUCAGGGUUGCCCAUUUACAGAUUAGUUGACUGGUAGGUAGUCCAUCAGUGACCAUCACUCAGCAAUCAGAGUGGAAGUGACUCCCACAGUCCAAAGCUGGAAGCACACAGGCACUCACAGAUGUCACAGCGAUAGUCUGUUGACUGGAUUGAGGCAGAUGCUUCCGUAUGUCACAGGGAAGCAUCUGCCCCAACUUUGUCACGUCUUCUGCAGCGUCGAGACACUUGCCAGUUCUCUUCGAAGGCAACUACUGCUCGUAAAGCGAGAGACCUCCUCGCUGAUCUGUCUGUGGCAGAGGCUUCAAGUUUAUUGGUGUGAAUGCUGGUUUUCAUAGUAUUUUUGUACUUCACUUUAGGUCUUCCUCGUUUGUGUGAGCUUGCUGUAUAACAGCUGUCUGAUAACAUGGCUAGUCCAGUGUAGCUAAACCUUCAGCAACAUUAACUGAAUGCUUGGUGAACAAGCUCUGUCCAGUGUGGAGGCACAUGGCCUAGUGGUUAGAGCAGUGGACUCGCGGUCGAGGGAUCGCGGGUUCAAAUUGCAGACCAGACAAUGUGUGUGUUUAUGAGCGAAACACCUAAGCUCCACGCGGCUCCGGCAGAAGGUAAUGGCAAAACUUCUGCUGACUCUUUUGCCACAACUUUCUCUCACUCUUCCCUCCUGCAUCUUGCAGCUCAUCUGCGACGGACCGGUGUCCUGUCCAAGUGGGGAACCUAUGCGCCAAGGAAACCGGGAAACCGGCCCUUAUGAGCCAGGCAUGGCACGAGAAGGAACAAACAACAACAAAGAAAAAAGCUCUGUCCAGUACUUCUUGGUUUGUCACACUGUCUUGCUAACAAAUGCCUAUAAUUGUGAGUUGACUAGAGCAAUGUGAAAUGGAGCGUUUCACUCAAGAACACAACACACUCGCCAGUUCAGGAAUAGAACCACAAUCAUGCAUUCAUGAGUGCAACAUCCUAACCACUAAGCCAUGAACUUUCACUAUGGUAUUCUAUCUUGAUGCAAAAAUAAAUUAAUUGAAUAAAAUUAAAAAAAUAACAUGGGGUGGAUAUAGACAUCUUCAAAACAAAAUAGGAUCUUCCCCUGUCAAGGGUUCUAGAUGAACCUACCUCAAAGCAAGAAACACAGAUCAGGGUGCCAACAUCAAACUCCCUCAUUCACCAAAUGCCACAUAUCAGAAAUAGUGAAAGUGUAGUAAAGCUAAUGGCAGUACUCCAGUAUAACUGCAGUUCUUGAACUGAAACUAGUAAAAGUAGAGUAAAAGAUGUGGAGAUAGAUUUACAGAUAAAGUUUCUUUGUCUCAAGUAUUUGAUAUAAUACAUGGUUUUGAUAAAGGAUUAGAAUAUGUACAUGUGUACAAGAACAAAAGAUUACAUGCAUAGCAUGUGUGUGUGUGUGUAAUUGCUAUAAGUUGGUAACCUUCCUGAAGAGCCUGGUGAGUUAUGGAAACUGGUUUCAUUUCAUAUUUCCUUAUUCUUGCAUCUAACAGGUUCCAACUGUUGUCAAUGAUAUCAAUAGCUCGGAGUGAGUGGGUUCCGACAGGUUUAAUUUGCCUUCUUGAUAUGUUUCAAAAAGUCAGUCAUCAAUGGUUUGUUCAAUAAGCCAUUAAAGAAUUUGAGAUAUUUUGUGUGUGUGUGUACUCAAGCUACUUUUGUGCUGUGUAUUUCUAUAUUGUUAAAUUUUCUUACCUACUUCAGUUUGAAGUGGUUACUAUAUAAUGACUAAUUAUAAAGGAAAGACUAAAGUAAAAUACCUUGGGAUGUGUUCUGCAUGAAAACCAAGUGGUAAGGUUGGUGCUAAUGUACUUAAUGUUGUGGAUUAAGAAUUGCAAAUUAAUUGCAAUUACACCCAAGGAGAAAUAAUUUUUGGCUUUAGUAAUUAAAUAUAAAGCAAAAUGGAAAAGAAAGUGAAAGGAGACAAUUCCAACAUUGUAGUUAAAGCAAGAAAAAAAAAAAAAAGCGGGGAGGAGAUAGACAAUCCCACCAUUUUGGAAUGUUGGCAGUAUAAUGGGAAAUGAUUCAAGAUUCGGCCAUCAUCAUCAUUAUUCCAUGCUGGUAUGGACUGGAGAGGUUUUCCAAGACGGUGUUUCAUGGCCAGAUACCCUUUGUGUUGCGAAUGCUUUUUUUAGUUGUCUCUUACAACACACAGGAAUGUGGUGUACCUAUUAUAAGGCUGGGAUAGGUGCAUGCAUUGCUGUGUAGUUGAGAAGUUUGCUCUCCAACCGAGUGCUUCGGAGUUCAGUCCUGUUGUGUGGUACCUUGGGCAAAGCCUUGUGAGUGGAUUUGGUAGUAGGAUACUCUUACUCUUUACUCUUUAUUUGUUUCAGUCAUUUGACUGCGGCCAUGCUGGAGCACCGCCUUUAGUCGAGCAAAUCGACCCCAGAGCUUAUUCUUUGUAAGCCUAGUACUUAUUCUAUUGGUCUCUUUUGCCGAACUGCUAAAUUACGAGGACGUGAACACACCAGCAUCGGUUGUCAAGUGAUGUUGAGGGGACAAACACAGAGAAGAAUACGAACAUACAUAUGACUUCUUCCAGUUUCCAUCUACCAAGUCUACUCACAAGGCUUUGGUCGGCCCGAGGCUAUAGUAGAAGACAUUUGCCCAAGGUGCCAUGCAUCAGGACUGAACCCGGGACCAUGUGGUUGGUAAGCAAGCUACUUACCACACAGCCACUCCUACGCCUAUAUAUAUCCAUGAUGUCAAUAUGUUUUUUCUUUCGUUUUUACACACUUGAAAGAUCAGUCUGUAGUGAGAAACUGAACAUCAACAUCAGAAAUAAUUAACUUCAGGUGAACAAAUAAACUCUAUUACAUGUACUGCAUGUAUUGAGCACUUCUUUUGUUUGCACAUUCAAGCAUGUGUGGAGGCACAUGGCCUAGUGGUUAGAGCAGCGGACUCGUGGUCGAGGGAUCACGGGUUCAAAUCUCAGACCAGGUGAUGUGUGUGUUUAUUAGUGAAAACACCUAAGCUCCACGCGGCUCCGGCAGAAGGUAAUGGUGAACUUCUGCUGACUCUUUCGCCACAACUUUCUCUCACUCUUUCCUUCCUGCAUCUUGCAGCUCACCUUCUCCUUACAGUAUUUCUCUGCUGCUGGGAUAAAAUUAUUGAAGAACCAAUCUUCAAAAGCAACAAUAGUAACCCAUGCUUUUGAAUCAGCCAUCCAUAUAACAGGGAGAGAUGCCUUGGGUAUUUUCUUCAGGGCACGGGGUUUGUGUGCAUCAUACACAAGCAAUGACUUUAAUUUAAAAUCUCUUGCAUAGUCACCUCCUAACAUAAUGGUCACACGUUCUUUUGAGACCUUGUAGCCUGGAAUAGUUUUCUCCUCCUUGGAAAUGAAUGAACGGUCUGGCAAUUUUUUCCAAUACAAUCUAGUUUUGUCUAUGUUAAAAAUAUGUUCGGGAAGAAACCUGUUUUCUUUGAUGAUUUUCUUUAUUGCAUUAGGAAAUUCUGAUGCACUUUCACCUUGCUUCUUAAUGGAGUGAUAGCUUCUUCACUCCUUAAAUCUUAUGAACCAUCCUUGACUUGCCUUGAACUCUACAUCUUUCUCAUCUGGAUAUUUUUCUUCAAGUCUUCAAACAAAGGCAAUGCUUUCUCUUGAAUGAUUUCUUGACUAAUAGUUAGCACACUAACAAUUCAAAGAGAAAGAAGACUUUCCAUUUCUUCAAAGAUUUUGCCUCUUAUUGAUGAUAGUGUUCUUCAUCCCUGGGGCUUCAGAUUUGAUAUGUGCUAAAAUCUUGUCCAUAUUACGUACAAUUGUUGAUAAAGUUGUCCGACUCCUCCCAAAAGAUAAUGCAAUUGCUACCACUUUUUCACCUUUUUCAUGGUGGUUUAUCAUGGCCAGUUUAUCUUCCAGCAUUAUAGCAUGAUGCUUAGCACUUUCACUAUGAAUUUUCUUAGGAGCCAUGGGGGCAAAAAUUAAAGUCACAAAUGAAUGAGAAAGUAGCUGACAAACAGACAUAAACAAAUCUGAAUUCAAAACAAACCUGGGAAUCACGAGUGACAAUGACCCCUAAUAGUAGAUAUUGGAACUAUCCUGCAAUAUGAGCUCCAAAACACCGAUAAGUAAGACAACACAGCUGAUUUCAUGAUUUCGUUCACUAAGCUACACUAUGGUGUGUAAUUUAACAUUUACUGUACAUAUUUUAAUUUUUAUAUGCUUUUAUUCUUAUUUAUUGUACAGUUACAGGAUUUUAUGUGCUUUUAACGGUUUUCUAGUGAUUUUACAAUUCCAGUAUUUGUGGCAGACAGAUGCAAAGUCAAGUAAAAUGACUUGACUUGAUUUUUAUUUUUCCAUAUAUUAAUCAUGAAAACUGACAUAUAAUGGAAAACGACUUAUGCCAAAGUAUGCUUGUAUGUAUGUAUGUAUGUGUAUAUAUAUGUAUAUACAUAUAUAUAUAUAUAUAUGUACAUACUUACAUCUAUAUGUAUAUAUACAUGCAUAUGUGGGCACAGGAUGUCACGAAACGUGUACAACAAAAAAUACAAAGUGCGAGUAAAUGGAAUAUGAACUAUUUUUUGAACAAUGAAAGGCACAAAUGGAAAACAUUACAAACAACACAAAGAAUGACCCUUCAUCAGUUGUUAGCUGUGUCUCUACUCUCAUGUUUUGAGCAUUUAGCAAGAUAUGCUUUCAAUAAAACAGUUGCUCCUCCAGCAAAGCAAAUUAAAUAAACUUUGAGAUUUUGCGGAGGGUCAAAAUAGGUAACACAAACAAGACAGUGAAAACAAACAUGAAGAGCUGCUAUGCCUAAACGAGGUUGUGGUGGCGAAUGCGUAAAUCAAGCUUGGACAGGAGACAGACAAGAACACAUCUUCCUUGAUCCAGCUACAACAAAGUAUAUAGACACAUUCACACACACACACACACGAGUAUUUAAUAGAGUUAUUUUCUUUAGACAAGUUGUAUUCUCAUCAAUCAGAGUUUGUUUGUUUAUGAUGGAGAAGGUGAAGAUCAUUAGAAAAUAUUUUUGUUUUAAAACUUGACCUGUGUUGAGGUGAGUUUCCAGCAGAUUUUUGUAAUUAAACUUGGUUAUUGUUUAACUUAGGUUGGCUUUCGCUCAGCAAAGGCAUCAUCUAUAUAUGGUUUCGGUCGUGGCCAUUCUGUUUUGCUUCUUUUUAUCAAACAUAUUGUAUCCAGAAUGUUUACUCAUCAUGUCUUUUUUGUUUUUUUAAGAUGCUAUUGUGUGGUUUCAGGAAAAUUUGUCUGUUAAUCCUGCUAAGUGAUGUGUUUAUAUAGACGUUUCAACAUUUAUGUAACACAUUUUUAUAUGCACACACAUACACACACACACACACACACAUACACUAGGGGAUUUCCAGAAGUUUUGAGACUUUUCUUGGAGACACUGUUAUAACUGUCCUAGAUUUAUACAUUUUUAUACCUAAUAAGCUGACCUGCCAACUUUGUAUCCCAGAUUGAAAAAGAGAGCUGUAACAGAACUUUGAAGACACCCUGCUGCUUGUUACAGUUCCAUCCAGGAACAGUUUUAAUACUUGAUGGGCAAUAAAACUGUCCCUCACCUUCCCUACAUCAAUCUGAACUGAUAUUUACUUUAUUGACCUUAAAUGGAGGAAAGGUAAAGUCAAUCUUGGUGGAACUCAGUACAUAAAAAUAGAAGAAAUACUCUGAAACAUUUUCUCUAAUGAUUCUGCUAGCUUGCCACCUUAUGUAAUAAUAAUUAUGAUGAUGAUGAUGAUGAUGAUGAUGAUGAUGCUUUCUAGUAAUAGUAAUAAUAAUAAUGAUGAUGAGAAUAAUUAUUUCUAAUAAUUAUAAAAAUUGUUCUUGACGUUGGCAUGAGGCAGCUUUAUUCAAGGAGAGGGUAUUGUUAAUUAAAUUAACUCUAGUAUUUAAUGAAUGCUAUUUUAUUUCUUCUUGAAAAUCAAAAUCGUUCAACAUCAAUGGAAAUUGUAGCUGUAAUACCAGUGCCGGUGGCACGUAAGAGAACCAUCCGAACGUGGCCAUUGCCAGCGCCGCCCCGACUGGCCUCUGUGCCAAUGGCAUGUAAAAAGCACCAUCCGAUUGUGGCCGUUGCCAGCCUCAUCUGGCCCCCGUGCCGGUGGCAUGUAAGAAGCACCAUCCUAUCGUGGCCAUUUGCCAGUUCAGUUGGUCUCAGUUAUGGUUCCAACUGGUUUUUAUGGCUGGAAAAAAAUCAGACAUAGGGCUUGUUUCUGCCAAUUAGCAAACUGUAAACACAGAACCAUAUGGCCACCUUCUCUAGCAUCUUACAAGGAUGUUGUCAAAUGAAAUCACUCUUGCUAAGGCAUACUCACUGGUUCAAAGAUUUAAAAACAUGUAGAAAAAGAAAAAAUUAUAACCAUGCACUUGCAGCUGAUCCUUUAAGAUCUGGCCUUGGUCUUUCUGGGACUGGCUUCAAGUAGUUACAAACAUAACAUGUUGUUUUUUUUUGUUUAUUUUUUUUCACAGUUUAUUCUCUGAUAGUGUCACCAUUUUGUCCUUGUUGACUGUCCUUAUGUCAAUGGUCAAAGUUGCUAUAAAAUUAGGCUCUAUUACUGUGAAUUUAAGUGAAGAGAAUACUACUAUUUUGAGGUGUGUGUGUUGGUGGGGUGGGGGAGAAAAUGCAAUUAGAAUAAUUUAUUCAUUGCUUGUUUUUAUAUUUUUUAAUGAUUGUUAUUUUUAGUUAGUCAUGCUUCUCUUGCGGUUUUUAAGCUGUUGUUUCUUGUACAUUUACCACCAGACUCCACUUCAUCUUUAGUACAACAGUCCAGUGUGAGUGUGUUUGUAUGUAUGUGAGUGUGUGUGUAUGUGAGUGCUUGUGUGUUUGUAUGCAUGUAUGUAUAUAUAUAUAUAUGUAUGUGUGUGUGUAUGUAUGAAGGUGAGAGCUAUUAGAGAUGAAGUGUACUGUUUGUCAUAGACACAUAUGUGUAAUAAAAAAAUUAAUUAAGUGAGCAAAUCAAAUUAAUUACUCUUAACUUAGUACUUUGUUCUUCUUGCUUAUGUCAACUGAUGCUUGUUGUCCUCACUUUAGCCCCAAGUCAGGUCUGAGAGAACACUGACAAAUACACUUAUUAUCAAUAGGCGCAGGAGUGGCUGUGUGGUAAGUAGCUUGCUUACCAACCACAUGGUUCCGGGUUCAGUCUCACUGCGUGGCACCUUGGGCAAGUGUCUUCUACUAUUGCCUCGGGCCGACCAAAGCCUUGUGAGUGGAUUUGGUAGACGGAAACUGAAAGAAGCCCGUCGUAUAUAUGUAUAUAUAUGAGUGUGUGUCUGUGCUUGACAACCGAUGCUGGUGUGUUUACGUUGCCGCAACUUAGCGGUUCAGCAAAAGAGACCGAUACAAUAAGUACUAGGCUUACAAAGAAUAAGUCCUGGGGGCCGAUUUCCUCGACUAAAGGCGGUGCUCCAGCAUGGCCGCAGUCAAAUGACUGAAACAAGUAAAAGAGUAAAAGAGCCACACCAUCUUCUUUCCCUGGAAUAAAUUUCCCUGGACAGCAUUAUCUAAUAUGAUCGAUCUUUUAUAGGAAUUGUUGUUUUUGAGUGUUUUUUUUUAGCCCAAAGUCAGCUUUGAUCAGGCUUACCUGUGAUAAACUGUGUUCCACUCACUUUCUUUGUAAGCCUAGUACUUAUUCUAUCGGUCUCUCUUGCUGAACCGCUAAGUGACGGGGAUGUAAACGCACCAGCAUCGGUUGUCAAGCGAUGUCGAGGAAUUCUGUUAAGGUCAACUUUGCUUUUCCUCCUUUUAGGGUCACUGAAAUAAGUACCACUCAAAGUACUGAGGUUGAUGAAAUUAACAACCCCCCCCUCUUACAAAAUUCAGGCUUUAUGCUUAUAGUCGGAAGAAAUGUUGCUAUUGAUACACCUGUGAAAAUUAAAAGGAAAUAUAAAAGGAGAAAGGGGCUCUCUACCCCCUUUAUGACCAGGCUCCCGUGGCUUUUAUGGCUUUUUCCAUGAGUAACCUUUUGAAGCGCCUCCCCCUAUUGGGAGUUUUAAUUAUUACUUACAUUUCGUUGUUAUCCUGCUUUUGUACACGGACUUUUUCAAACGGACAAAACCCUUUGUAACUAUUGUCUUGUGUUUUGUCCCUUUAUGUUUUAAUUGAUUUUUGUUAGCACUUGUGGCCAAUAAACGAACAAAUUAUUAUUAUUAUUUAGGUGAUGGUGGUGAGCUGGUAGAAUCGUUAGCACGUUAGGCAAAAUGUUUCGUGACAUUUCAUCCAUCUGUACAUUCUGGUUGGGUGGGUAGGUAGGUAGGUAGGUCAGUUACAUUGACCUCCAGUUUCAACUGGUUCUUAUUUUAUUGACCUUGAAAGUGUGUAAAGCAAAGUGGACCAUGGUGGAAUUUGAACUCAGAAUGUACAGAUGGAUGAAAUGUCACGAAACAUUUUGCCUAACGUGCUACUUAGUAAUAAAUAGAUGCCCAUAGAGAAAUGCAAUUCAAAACGUAUUACUCCAAAAUUUAUGAUUACUAGUGUAUGACUUUUACUCCAAAACUUAUGAUUACUAGUGUAUGACUUGUUUUACGCCUGGGAUAAGUAAUACUUAGUAUCAUUGAAAUAUAGAUAUGUAUAAGUGGUGUGGAGGCUCAAUGGCCCAGUGGUUAGGGCAGCGGACUUGCGGUCAGAUGAUCACGGUUUUGAUUCUCAGACCGGGUGUUGUGUGUGUUUAUUGAGCGAAAACACCUAAAAGCUUCACAAGGCUCCGGCAGGGGUAGGUGGCGACCCCUGUUGUACUCUUUCGCCACAACUUUCUCUCACUCUCUCUUCCUGUUUCUUGAGUAACGCUGUGAUGGACUGACGUCCCGUCCAGCUGGGGGUAACACAUACGCCACGGAAACCGGGCCCAUGAGCCUGGCUAGGCUUGAAAAGGGUGAAAAAAAAAUAUACAAGUGAUACAAGUGAACUUAAUGUGUUUAAAGAUUGAUUUGAGAAAUGUGUGUAUGUGUACAUACAUUCAUUCAUAUAUACAAACAUACAUACAUAUAGAAUGAGUGAGUGAGAGAGAUAGAGAGUGGGGAAUUGCAAAUUGAACCAGAAGUUGUGUAUGUUACAGAUGGACAGAUUUGACAAAAAUUAUUGCAAUUUCCAAAAUUUAUAUAAAUCUUGGGCUUCUAUAAUAUGAAUUACUUAUUUAAUGAAAUUUUUUUUGUUUUGUUUGUUUUUGAGUUGUGAUUAAUAUUCUAACAAAACUAAAUUAAAAGCAUGUAUUGAAUAUGUUUUGUUUUACAUUGACUUGCAGUUUUCAUAGCAUUAAGUGGAAGAGAUAUUUCAUACCUCUGAGACUUUAGUAGAUUCUGUCAUUAAAGGGAUUGUAGGUCAGAAUUGUUAAAUCAAUAAAACAACUGUCAUGUAUGCUGUCUGUUAGUGAAAUUUUAGUUUUGAAUUGCAUUUCUCUAUGGGCAUCUAUUUAUUACUAAGUAGAUUUGAAUAAUUGGAUUUUAAUUAAAGCAUUUAAUUCAGUUCUCGACCAUUGUUUUUAUUUAUUUAUUUAUUUUUUUUGUAUGAGAAAGGCAGACACAGGGUCAACUUUAUAAAUAAAUUCUUUAUAAAAAUAAAGAGUUGUAAUGUUUUUUUUUUUGCUGAACCGCUAAGUUACAGGGACGUAAACACACCAGCACCAGUUGUCAAGCGAUGUUGGGCGGGGGAACAAACACAGACACACAAACAUACACACACACACACACUCACAUAUAUACAUAUAUAUAUAUACAAUGAGCUUCUUUCAGUUUCUGUCAACCAAAUCCACUCACAAGGCUUUGGUCAGCCUGAGGGUAUAGUAGAAGCCCGAGGUGCCACGCAGUGGGACGGAACCUGGAACCAUGAGGCUGGUAAGCAAGCUACUUACCACACAGCCACUCCUACUUGUAAAUUUAAAAUAGAUCAUUAGUUUUAUAGUGUUCUGUAAUUCACAUUAAUAACCUAAAACCUACCACAUAUCCCUGAGAGAAUUAGCAGUUCAAAUGAAGGGAAACAAAUGGUUUCAGCUAGACUGCAGAAUGGAACUCAGUUUUCUUUAAGGUAAAAAAUAAUGCAAGUAAUGUUCAAGGGAAAGGACAAGAUUGGUAUGGAAAAUGUAGUUUGUAGGAGAAAGAUAGUUUGGUGUACUAAGUGAUUCUGAUGAAAGGAGUAUGUGGAAGAAGACUGGAAAGAAGUGGCCAAGGUCGAAUGGAUGGUGGUGGUUGAGUCUCAUGAAGGAAACCACAUAAAAUGGUAAUACACGGUGCUGGAGAAGACCCAUCCUCUCUGUGCAAGCAUGGUAGAAAAAUGAAUGUAAAAUGAUACUGGUAAGGAUGAUAAAAAAAAAUAAAGAAUUGUUUCAGAUGUUUGGCACAAGGCCAGCAAUUUUAGACUGAGUGACAUCGUUGAUUUCAUUGCCACCUAUACUUGACUGGUACUCUAUUUUAUCGACUCCAUAAUGGAUUAACCCUUUCGUUACCAACCUGGCUAAAACCGGCUCUGGCUCUAAGUACAAAUGUCUAAUUUUCAUAAGUUUUGAAUUAAAAUCUUCCACCAAACCUUAGACACAAUUUAUGUUCCUAACACUAGCUGAAUGAUCACUAAGUUAUUUUACUAAAUUCUUUGUUAUAUUUAAGAUUAAUUGAAAGAAAAAUAGAGUAUCUCAAAAUAAAUACAGUAAUGAAAGGGUUAAAGGUAAAGUUGAUCUCAGUGGUAUUUGAACUUUAGAACAACAUAAAGAGCUAUAAGAAAUGCCUCAAUGCAUUUUGUCUGACAUGUUAAUAAUUCUGUCAGGUCAACUCUAUGGAGAAUUAUGUAAGGAUUUUCGAAUAUCAUCAAGCAAGCUGUUCCUUCAGUCUAAUGAAAAUGUUCUUUCUUGCUAAAGAAAGAUAUUGUCUUGGCUAUUGACUCUCUACUUCUAGUAGAGUUUUAUUGGCUGUCUUCUUAUUUGAUUUUCUUCAAAACUUCAUUUCAUUAGGUGGAUAUUGUCUUCAUUUGACUUGUUCGUUUCUUAUUCUCCUUUUCUGUCUCAACACUUUCUAAAUGAUGUGAUUUAAAACAUUUACACACGAUACUUUGUUUUUGCUUUCUCUUUCACCUUCAAGUUUUCUUUUAAUAUUUGGUUUUAACUACAGCUUAUUUUCUUCUCCGUGUUUUCUUUUUUUUUUUCUUUUAUCUUAGCUAACUUCUAUAUUUUGAGGUUUGUUAAAUGACCAUUUCACAAUUUGUGCUAGUGUUGUCAGAGGAGUUAAGUGGUAGCUUUAAAUGCUUUGUGUUUAUUUGUUUUUACUUGCUUUUCUUUUUUGGCUGUUUUUGCUCUUUAUAUGUUCUUUUUUUUUUCUUCUUACUAAGUGUAUUCCACAUUCUCUCUCCUCCUAUUCCUCUCCUCAGAGGUGGCCGUGGCAGUGUUGUUUGUGUAGUAGGUGUUAGCAGUAAAAGAAGACGUACUGCUGAUUAGUAGUUAGUUAGUUAGUCAAUAUCAGAAAAUAGCUGUUAUUACAAAGAAUCAGCAUUAAUUGGCUUCUUGCAGGCACUAGACAAUUGUGACUCAGACUUGCAUACACACAUAAACUUUGAUGGCCGUGUGCACACACACACACACAAUGGCCAGCACUUGUAAAUUUUGGGUGUAACAAGGGAGUGAGAGAGAGAGAGAGAGAGAGAGCUUAUUAUGGGCAGUUUGUAAAUUGUUGUAUAACAUGGCUGUCUGAAUAAAAAUUUGCAAAAGAAGAAAAACAAACCAGAAACAGAUAUUUUAGUGAGAAUUUUUAAAUUUCUAAUGUAUUUGAAAUAUAUAUAAAAAAAAAAAUGGAAAAUCUUUGAAAGGCAAUAUAUUUUUGCUAUUUUUUGCUAUUUUUAAAAACAAAUUGUUUUUCGUAACUAAAAAAUUUAUUUUCUUUUUGUUGUUUUUUUUCUCACUAUUCUUAAUUAAAUGUAAUAUUGUCUUGUGGUCUUCAUUGAUGGUUUUUUCAAGAUGAACUUAUAACUUGGGAUUAAAGAACCUAACACAAACAUGAAAACGAACUGAAUCAUUUCUCUUCAGAAUAAAAUAAUAUUCUGUAAUACAGUAAACGAAUCUCUUUGGUUUGAACGGCAGUUUUUAACAUAAUUUCUAGGUAACUAAAAAAUUUUAAACUUCGUAUACUGGUAGAAUGUGUUUAUAAAACAUCUUUUUCUCUUGGCUUUAUUGAGAAAAUUCUAUAGUUUGUAAGAUAGUUUUUGUUUUUUUUCUUCAAUUUCUGCAAUUUCAACCAAUCACUGACAUCCAUUGAGGUAAAAAAACAUUUUGUGCCAUAUGAAUAUGUCCCUCGUUUAAGAAACAGAUUGGGUUUAUUUACAUUUGUGAAGAAAAAAAGAUACCCUUCCCCCACCCCUAGCCCUAACCAUAACCAACCCUAACCCUAAAAUAGAUUGAAAUGUAAUAGAUCGAUUCUAGGGUCAUAAUUAUGGGUGACAAUUUCAUAUGACACCGCUAGAAAAAACUGCCGUUCAAACCAAAAAGAUCCCAGUAAACUGUUACUGCAUAUUGAAAUGAUUCAAAAGAGACACUGAUUGUUGUUUUGAGGGUCCAAGGGAAAAUUUGAACUUACAGAUGUCUUGUUAGUCAUACAGUAUUCUUGCUGCUUACAAAGUGUUGGAGAAAACUACUUUGCAGUAUUUGCUUUGGCUCUUUUCAUUCCAAGUUCAAAUCCCGCUGAGGUUAACUUUGUCUUUUGUUCUUUGGUGAGGUUGAUAAAAUAAAGUGCCAGUCAAGUGCAAGGAGUCAAUGUAAUUGAAUAACUUCUGCAUAAUUGCUGGUUAUUGUGCCAAUAUUAGAAAGGUGGCGAGCUGGCAGAAUCAUUAGCACGCCAGGCGAAAUGCUUAGCGGUAUUUCGUCUGCCGCUACGUUCUGAGUUCAAAUUCCGCCGAGGUCUACUUUGCCUUUCAUCCUUUCGGGGUCGAUUAAAUAAGUACCAGUUACACACUGGGGUCGAUGCAAUCACCUUAAUCCCUUUGUCUGUCCUUGUUUGUUGUCCCAACUAUAUUUAGCCCCCUGCAGGCAAUAAAGAAAUGAAUAUUAGAAAGUUGUUACUAAGAAGGUGAACUGGCAAAAUCAUUGGAAUGUCGAAAGAAAUGCUUAUAGUAUUUCUUCCAGUCCUUUACGUUUUGUGAUAUGUGGAAGACUGGCAUGUCAAAGAAUAGACCCAGUGUUUCCUCUGCAUGUCAUAAAACAGUGACUAAAAGAGGUUGAAGUAGGAUUUGCACUCUGACUGUGAAACCCACACCAGCAGUGGCUACCCAAACAGACCCAUGGGUUAGAGGGUUGUCGCCUGAGUGGUGCAAAGGUGUUAUCUGUCAGGAUUAGGGAAUCACCUACAAAUGGUAGAUGCAGUGGUGGGCUGUUAUAGUUCUUGCUUACAUACUACUACAACUUUGUUUUGAGUUCAAAUCUUGCCAAGCUCAGUUUGCCUUUUCAUCCUUUCUGGGUCAGUAAAAUAAAGUAUCAGUUAAGUACUGAUAUUGACUAAUCUCACUUCAAAAUUGCUGGCAUUGUGCCAAAAUUUGAAACCAUUAUUAGUAUGGCAGCAGUUUAGUAGAGAUCAAUUUGAGAAAUAUAUAUGUGUGUGUCUUUGUACAUAUAGUUGUACAUACAUAUGAAUGUAUAUACAGAAGGAGUGAGUGAGAGAGUGUGGGGAGUUGUAAACCAAACCCAAAGUGAUACUACAGAUGGACAGAUUUGACAAAAAUUAUCAUAAUUUCCAAAAUUUAUAUCAACUUUGGGCUUCUGUAAUAUGAAUCACUUAUAAUCAUUAGAGCAUAGAUUCUCAGCAUGGUUGGUACUGCCCCCAAAGGGGCACUGGGUAGAUUGAAGAGGAAUGUUUGGCUUUAGCGGGUAAUCAUCAUCAUCGUUUAACGUCCGCUUUCCAUGCUAGCAUGGGUUGGACGAUUUUGACUGAGGGCUGGCAAACCAGAUGGCUGCACCAGGCUCCAAUCUGAUCUGGAAGAGUUUCUACAGCUGGAUACCCUUCCUAACGCCAACCACUCCGAGAGUGUAGUGGGUACUUUUUACGUGCCACCGGCACGGGAGUCAGUCAGGCGGUAUUAGCAAUGACCUUGCUCGAAUCUUUUUACACGUGCCACCAGCACAGGUGCCAGUGGAGUGAUGUUGGUAACGAUCACAACAUACUAAAUGUUACCAAUAGAAGUAAAUAUAUAAUACAUGAUAAUGGUUAUUAAAAUAAAAUGAGAUCUCAUUAGGUACAGAGAAGUCAUUAACUUGCAAUGUGUAAAGUAAAUUUACAGCUUCUGUCUUCAUUUAUUUUUCAUCAUUUCACUGUUAAUAGCUUAUACAAUCCAUUUUUAGAGUAAAAUUCAUGAAUUAUGUUCCGUUCUUUUACUCUUUUAUUCAUUCCUUUAUUUGUUUCAGUCAUUUGGCUGUGGCCAUGCUGGAGCAUUUGACUGUGGCUAUGCCUUUAGUCAAACAAAUUGACCCCCCAGGACUUAUCCUUUGUAAGCCUAGUACUUAUUCUAUUGGUCUCUUUUGCCAAACUGCUAAGUUACGAGAACAUAAACAGACCACCGCGUGGCACCUUGGGCAAGUGUCUUCUACUAUAGCCUCGGGCCGACCAAAGCCUUGUGAGUGGAUUUUGUAGAUGGAAACUGAAAGAAGCCCGUCUUAUAUAUGUAUAUAUAUAUAUAUAUGUGUGUGUGUGUGUUUGUGUGUCUGUGUUUGUCCCCCUAGCAUUGCUUGACAACCGAUGCUGGUGUGUUUAUGUCCCCGUUACUUAGCGGUUCGGCAAAAGAGACCGAUAGAAUAAGUACUGGGCUUACAAAAGAAUAAGUCCCGGGGUCGAGUUGCUUGAUUAAAGGCGGUGCUCCAGCAUGGCCACAAUGACUGAAACAAGUAAAAGAGUAAAAAGAGUACACCAACAUCAGUGUCAAGUGGGGGAUGGGAGACAAACACAGACACACAAAUACAUACAUAAAUAAAUAUCAAUAUAAUAAAUAACAAAGAAAAAAAACUCAAGGUAAUAAAUUUAAAAUGUCUUAUUCUUAUAUUUUAAUUAUAAUCCACAUGAUGAGUACAAAAAGAUAUUAUAUGAUGAUGAUAAUAGGCAUUAUUUCUUUGAUGGUUGUCUGAGAUAAUUGAAUAAAUGAAUAACCCAUCAUUAAGAACAAAGUCUGCUUCAUUUCUUUUUAUUUAAUGACAUUUAUUGAACUCUGGCUCGUGCAAGCAUGGAAAUGAGGGUUAGCAACAGGAACAGCAUCUGACCCGUGCAAGCAUGGAAAUGAGGGUUAGUAACAGGAACAGCAUCUGACCCGUGCAAGCAUGGAAAUGAGGGUUAGCAACAGGAACAGUAUCUGACCCGUGCAAGCAUGGAAAUGAGGGUUAGCAACAGGAACAGCAUCUGACCCGUGCAAGCAUGGAAAUGAGGGUUAGCAACAGGAAUAGCAUCUGACCCGUGCAAGCAUGGAAAUGAAGGUUAGCAACAGGAACAGCAUCUGACCCGUGUAAGCAUGAAAAUGAGAGUUAGCAACAGGAACAGCAUCUGACCCUUGCAAGCAUUGAGAUGAGAGUUAGCAACAGGAACAGCAUCUGACCCGUGUAAGCAUGGAAAUGAGGGUUAGCAACAGGAACAGCAUCUGGCUCGUGCAAGCAAGGAAAUGAGGGUUAGCAACAGGAACAGCAUCUGACCCAUGCAAGCAUGGAGAAGAAGUGGACAUGAAACCACUGAAGAUGAUGACAAUUAAUGAAUUCUCAUAUUGAAUAUAUUCAUAAGGGUUGGGAGAAAAUGAGUUUGUAUGGUCUUCUUGUCUUUUUUUUGAAGACUAAUUGGAAUAUGAAGUAGAGUAACUUUAAUUGUAAAUCAAAGUUGAAUUAUGGACUUGGUUUACUGGGAAUUUAAUCAUUUUAUGUACUAUUACUUAGAUGUGCAACAAUCAAAGGAAUAGAGUAUGUGGUUUGUUGCUUCAAAUUCCAAUGAUAAAUGAUAAUUGUGUUGUCCCCAGUAAAUAAUAAAUAUAAUAAUAAUAAUAAUAAUAAUAAUGAUAAUAAAUCAAGACAAAGAACUCCCCUCCCCCAUAAACCAACCCUCACUACUAAAAUGUUGAUGUCUAAUUAAGUGAUAAUUAUUUAUUUAUUUAAUUAUUCAGAUUAAAAGAAAAGAAAAAGCAGACAGAAAACGAAGGGAAAUUUAUUACUCUUUGGUGUAAUUAGGUUAAAAAUAACAAUAUAAUUGUAUUUUUGUGAAAAGAAAUUUAAUUAAAAGAUCAAUUAGUAAACAACUGAUAUUUUUUUUUAUUCAUUUCUGUUUCUUGACUGCCCUCCCCUCCCACACACACAGUAUUUGAUUGUGUUUAAUGUGAUUUUAUUUUCCAUCAAUCUUGUUUAUGAACUGAUAUUUUAUGAAGUUUUGAUCAAUUUCAAAAGGGAAGUUGAGUUACUAAUUUUUUUUUUUUUGUUUUGCCAGUUAUUUGUGUUGUUGUUUAAACUCUAGGUCAGAUCUGAUUGAUAUAAGACUAGUGGUUCCCAAAGUAGGUGGUAUUGCUCCCUGGUGGGUGGGGUGGUGGAAAGUUCCAAGGGGUUGUUGAAGAAAAGUGGGGUGAUAAUGGUGUAGCGAUUCAUGUAAAAAGUAGGACAAUAAUUGGGUUGCGAUUCAUGUCAUCAUCAUCGUCAUCAUCGUUUCACGUCCGCUUUCCAUGCUAGCAUGGGUUGGACGAUUUUGACUGAGGGCUGGCAAACCAGAUGGCUGCACCAGUCUUCAAUCUUGAUCUAGCAGUUUCUACAGCUGGAUGCCCUUCCUAACGCCAUGUAAAAACAACAAAAUAAUGGGUUCAUUAGGUUAAGUUUUAUUUAUGAAAUACAGUUGCUUUGAAUUUGUCUCAGAAAGAAGUCUAUGUUUAUGAUGGCUAGUUGGGGUGGAGGUGCUAGGAAUGUGGCCUGGGUGUCAAGGGGGCGGCAUCCCCAAAAUGUUUGGAACCACUGAUAUAGACCUAUGGUCAAAGGUGACCCUGUCACAAAGGUUGGUCUUUAGUGUAUGUGUGUAUAAUAAUGGUAUGAAACUCAAAUCAGUCUCAGUAAACCAUGUGUGCAACAUAUAUUGAGUACUUCCCUCACAUUUGUUUGAUACAAAUCAAUGUUUGUUUAUAUACGUGUUGUUCUUAUCACUGUGCAUCCCUCACCUUUCACUAGGCUUAUAUUCUUUUUAUUCUUUUACUUGUUUCAGUCAUUUGACUGUGGCCAUGCUGGACCACCACCUUUAGUCGAAUCAAAUCGACCCCAGGACUUAUUCUUUGUAAGCCUAGUACUUAUUCUAUUGGUCUCUUUUGCCGAACUGCUAAGUUACGGGGGACCUAAACACACCAGCAUCUAUUGUCAAGCGAUGUUGGAGGGACAAACAGAUUCACAAACAUAUACACACACAUACGUAUAUACGACGGACUUCUUUCAGUUUCCAUCCACCAAAUCCACUCACAAGGCUUUGGUCGGCCCGAGGCUAUAGUAGAAGACACUUGCCCAAGGUGCAACACAGUGGGACUGAACCUGGAACCAUGUGGUUGGUAAGCUUCGAGCUCAGAAGAUGACAAUGAGUAUGAACCUUCUAUUAGAAGCUGGAUACAACAGAUGAGUGUGUAAGCCUGUCUGAUAAAAAAAUUCAUCUGAAAAUGAAUUGUUUUCUCCAAAAAAAAGUCGCCAGAGAAGGGGUUAAGAAGAUGAGUCAAGAUUUCUCCAAAACUGACAUGUUACCAAGGAAAAGCUUUUUGUCUAGAGCAGCGGUUCUCAACCAUUUUUCGCCUAUGGACACCUUUGAUUCCCAUUUUACUCUACUGAACCCCUAUAGCCACUCAGUGUUCAAAUAAUCUCAUCUCUCUCAUCUAGGUCAUCCCAUCCCAUAGGAUGUCUUCUGUUCAAAUAAAACCCUAUAAUAUUUUUAUAAUUGAUUGUUGUUAGGAAUUGUAUAAAAAACAUCCUAGAAAAAUUAUGUGUUUUGUACAAGUAUAUAAAUAUGUCAUUCUCUAAUUAAGAUGGCAGUAUGCGUUUUGAUAUUUGGCUACUAUUUCUAGCAGGGCAAGUGGCCUUUUUCUCUGGCUUACAAGGAGGGUUCAUUGUAAAAUAUGGAGUUUCAGUUUCUCUUUGCAGUAGUUUAAAGAAUUAUUUGUCAGAAGCUGUCAUAUCCAGAAGGCUAAAGAUAAUUUAAUUUUCUUUUGUUAUCUUACAUACAUUUUUGACCUCUUACUUUUUAACAUCCCCUCCUUCUCCCCUCCUUCUCCCCUCCUUCUCCCCUCCUUCUCCCCUUCUUCCUUUCUCCAACCCCCUCUCUCUUGCACCUCAUCUUUCUCCCCCUCGUUCCCCUCUCUCUCCCCACCUCGUUCCCUUCUCCUCUCCCCCACCUUGCCCUCUCUUACCAUUUUCUCCCUCUCCCAUCUUCUCUCUCCCUCUCUUUCUACUGCCUCUAACCUCUUCUCUCCACCACUUCUCUCCUUUCUCCUCUUCUUCUGACAUAUGAGUAUGAAGUAUUGCAAACUAUAGUUUUCAAAUAACUGUUCCCAUGCUUGUGCACACACACACACACACUAAUGCACAUACACACAUACUAUUUUAAUUUGUGCAGAUACACAGGCAUACACACACACAUUGAUGCGUGUUGACACAAAUUACGUAGGUACACAUACAUUGCUAUGUACAGUUGACAACACAGACACAUACAUAAACACACACACACACAUACAUAAACACACACACACAUACAUAAACACACACACACAUACAUAAACACACACACAUACAUAAACACACACACAUACAUAAACACACACACACUCACGCCACCACAACCAUCAUCAACAACAAUACCAUCACCACCACCAUCAAAGUUCUCAAUAUACUGCAUUGUAAAUUACUAUUUUUAAAUCUCACAACGUGAGAUAUUCAGCAACAGUACUUUGUAGUAAAGAUUGUUUGCCAACAUAACAUGGCAGUCCUGGUUUAGGACUCAUGUUACUGUAAUUUAGCCCCAAGAGACAUCAUCUCCGCCUGGUUAUAUGACACAAUCUGUGUCCUUAUAUGAAGGGAAAUAACCCAGAAAUCGCAAUAUACAGAUGUUGCUUUGAGCUGAGUGGGGUGCUAGAUUCCCUUGUUCAAAAAUAUAAGGACACAGAUCGUGUUGUAUAGCCAGCUGGAGAUGAUGUCUCCUGGGGCUAAAUUACAGUAACAUUAGUCCUAAACCAGGACUGCCAAACUGCUAAGUUACAGAAACGUAAACAAACCAACAUCAGUUCUCAAGUGGUGGCCAGACACACACAUACACAGUUUCCAUCUACCAAAUCCACUUACAAGGCUUUGGUCAGCUUGAGGCCAUAGUAGAUAACACUUGCUCAAGGUGCCAUGCAAUGGGCCUGAACCUGAAACCAUGUGGUUGGGAAGCAAAGUUCUUACCACAUAGCCACAAUGUUAUGUAUAUGUGUGUGAGUGUGUAUAUACAUUUAUAUAUAUAUAUGUUUACACACUCAUACAGCCACAAUGUGUGUGUGUGUAUGUGUAUAUAUAUGUAUGUAUGUAUAUGUAUGUAUAUAUAUGUAUGUAUAUGUAUGUAUGUAUGUAUGUAUGUAUGUAUAUGUAUGUAUAUGUAUGUAUGUAUAUGUAUGUAUGUAUGUAUAUGUAUGUAUGUAUAUGUAUGUAUGUAUAUGUAUGUAUGUAUGUAUGUAUGUAUAUAUAUAUAUGUAUGUAUAUAUAUGUAUGUAUAUAUAUGUAUGUGUGUAUAUAUAUAUGUAUGUAUGUAUAUGUAUGUGUGUAUAUAUAUAUGUAUGUAUGUAUAUGUAUGUAUGUAUAUGUAUGUGUGUAUAUAUAUAUGUAUGUAUGUGUAUAUAUAUAUAUAUAUAUGUAUAUAAAUGUAUGUAUAUAUAUGUAUGUGUAUGUAUGUGUAUAUAUGUAUAUAAAUGUAUGUAUAUAUAUGUAUGUAUAUAUAUGUAUGUAUGUAUAUGUAUGUAUAUAAAUGUAUGUUUAUAUAUGUAUAUAUAUCUAUGUAUAUAUGCAUACACAUACAAUGUAUAUAUGUCUUAUUUCUAUUUCAACUAAAAGAAACCAAGAUAUUUUUAUGGUAAUAAAAGUGAUUGCUGUUGUUUCAAAAACGUGUAUUUUGUACAUUUCUUGUACUUAUCAAAGUGGAUAGUGAUGCCAGUUUAAAACUGAAUAUUUUAACGUGGAAAAUCAUAUAUCUCUUAUUUCCUUUCUGUAGAUCUUUGAGUAAGCACUUGAGACAACUCUCUUACUGGAAUGGUUCCAUAUGUGUUGGAGAUAGAUGUCGUUAGCUACUCAUUAUGCCAAGUACCGUUGUCAUUUACAACCAAACUUAACAGUAAUUCUAACAUUUAGAAUUUAGAAAGUUAUAGAGCUGUUAUUGUUUAACCCAAGGUCAUUCUUGAUUGUGUGGACCUAUGAUCAAAGGCAUUUUAGCCAGAACUUUCCUUUUUUUUUUUUCUUUUGGCAAGGGGUGGGGGAUAUUAAGAAAUGCAGUAGCCAGUGUGUUCUUUGAGUAUGAUUUGAAGGACAUCUGGUUGCUAUUUCUUGCAAGAUAGCUUUUCUUGUAUUUAGAGACUCUCUCUUUGUUCAUGAAGUGGGUUUUUCUUUUGUUUUUAGAAGCUAAAUGAGUGGUAGACAUUUCUGAUGAAGACAAAUACCUGAUUACUUAACCCUUUAGCAUUUAAACCGGCCAUAUCCGGCCCAAAUUUUCUCCUUCUUUUAUAGAUCUGGUCUCUCACGCAUAUCCUACAAUGACAUCCUCAAAAUAAACCAUCACAUCAUCAAAUUCUCAGAGCUACAAGAUAAUGCAGGAUUAAUUCAAAACAAUGUGAAUGAAAAAGCAUUAUAUUUGACAGAGUAAUCUGAACACUAAGGGGUUAAUUAACUGUUUAGAACUGUUAUCUCUAACCUUUUUCAUACCACCGACUGGCUUCAUGCUGGACAAUCUGGUAGUGGCAUACAUGUGUAAUUUAGGUGUAUUUCAGUAAAGAGCAAUUUAUUAAAGGGAAGAACAAAAUGUAUCAUCUUUUCACUCUCAUGCACUGAAAUUCUUUAAAAUCUGAAAAUAAGUUAAGAUCAGAAAAUUAGUUGAAAAUUAUUGCAAAUGAAUUAAAAUGUACAUUAAUUGUAAAAUGUAAUUACAGUUAUGAUAGAUAGUAAAGGUAGAUGUAAAAUAUACAUUAAAUAUAAAAAUUUAUAUUAAUUAUAAAAUCUACUUACAGCUAUGAUAGAUAGUCUUGAGUAGAUGAAUGUUGAAUAUUCAAACAAAUCUUUUAAAAUUAAAAUUGAAGUCCAAUAUUCAAUUUAUCUAUUAUAUAAUUUUAAACAAGUUAAUUAUUUUGUUGUGACCUGGAAGCAAAUGAUCCACGUACUGGGACCGGUCUGCAGCCUAGUGGUUGAGGACCUCUGGUCUAGAAGACAGGCAGAAAUUAUAUUCUGUACUUUCUGACAUACAAGCUGAUGUAAUGUAUAGUGUAUGCAAUGCUGUGUAGACAUUCUAACAUCAUCAUUAUCUUUCCAAAUUCUAUUCACGUGGAAUUUUCGACCCUUGUUGACUUGCUGUAUAAGCUGGGCUGUGUAUUGUUUUGCUGUAAAUUUUGGUUUGAAAAAUUUCACUUGUAUGCCAGAAAAUAUGGCAUUAUGUGUGUGUGUGUGUAUGCUUUCCCGAUUAACAAAAUUCAUUGUCUAAUAUUUUCAGUUAAUUUUGAAAAUUUCAAGAAUUUGUAGGGAUUUAGUAAAAUAUCUAUUUUUUUUUACCUAUUUAUUGGCAUAUUAAGCGUGCCCUGGUAAGUAUUUUGUUUUUUUUCCCCUUCUUCUAAACUCAGUAACAUAAUUAUCAGCUAAAAUAGGAAUGUUGAUAUAAUCUGUCAAGACCCAGCAUAUGUCACUAUAUUAAGCUGGUGUUUGAAACAUGAAAAUAUUAUGAUAGAGCUACCAUGUUUCAAAAGAGAACACUUUAACCUUUUAGCAUUCAGCUUAUUCUAUCAAGUGAAGGCACAUGGCUCAGUGGUUAGAGCGUCGAGCUUACGAUUGUGAGGUUGUGAUUUCGAAUCCCAGACCGGGCUGCGUGUUGUGUUCUCGAGCAAGACACUUUAUUUCACGUUGCUUCAGUUCACCCACCUGUAAUGAGUUGCGACGUCACAGGUGCCAAGCUGUAUCGGCCUUUGCCUUUCCCUUGGAUAACAUGGGUGGCAUGGGGAGGGGAGGCUGGUAUGCAUGGGCGACUGCUGGUCUUCCAUAAACAUCCUUGCCUGGACUUGUGCUUGGGAGGGUAACUUUCUCAGUGCAAUCCCACGGCCAGUCAUGACUGAAGGGGGUCUGAUCAUAAUGUUUAUUUAUUCACAUUGUUUUGAAUUAGUCUCACAUUAUUUUGUAGCUUUGAAAUAUCGAUGAUGUGGUUGCCUAUUGUUUUAAAAAUGACAUUGCAAGGUAGGUGUGAGAGGCUAGAUCUGGCCAGUUUGAACAUAAAACAGGCAGAAUAUUUUGGCUGGAUAUGGUGGGUUUAAAAGACAAAUUUUUUUUUUUAAACCCCAAAGUAGUCUCAGACAAGUUGGUAUCAAGAAGAUUAACCAUAGUAUUGAAUAAUAAACCAUUUAAGGUUCUUGAUUGGCACUAGCUGUUGGAAAUCUACAAAGUGCUCUUGAACAGUUUCAGAAAAUUUUGUAGUUACAUAUUACAGUAUGGUCUGAAAGUCUCUGUGGAGCUUAUAAUGGAUCCUGUUUGCUAAGAGUCACUUUGGUAAAAUUUGGACAAUGGACACUAAGAGAAUUAGCUGAAAUGCUAGAAUACUAGACAAAAUGCCUUGCUGUAUUUAGGUGUGUAUUCAAGUUCUGUAUUUCAAGUUCAAAUUACACUGAUAUAAACAUUGCCUGUCAGCCUUCUUGGGUCAAUAAAAUAAAGUACCAGUUAAAUAUUGGGAUCGCUAUAAUCAACUUUGAACUGUCUUGAUAUUUGAGGCCUUGUGUCCUUGUUAGCUAUCAAUAUUUAUUUUUGCGUUUCCUCUACAGCUGUUACAGAUGUUGGCUAAGUGAUAAAGCGCUUUAGUUGUUUAACCUGCAGGGUAGACGUGAUUAUGUAGACAUGAUUUUGUUGAUAUUAUCCAAAACAUUUUCAUUACCCAUCAUGUCUUUUGAUAUAUGUGGCACUGUGUUAUUUACUGUGUCUGUCUCUUCAGAAUGGUUGGAUGUGAUUGGUGGUGGGAUGUGGUUUGUUUUUAGCAAUUUGAUCGACUACUUAACCCUUUUGUUACCGUAUUUAUUUUGAGAUGCUCUGUGUUUCUUUCAAUUAUUUUAAAUAUAACAAAGAAUUUAAUAAAAUAAGUUCACUAUCAUUAAGCUAGUGUUAGGAACAUAAAUUGUAACUAAGGUUUGGUGGAAGAUUUAAAUUCAAAACUUCGGUAAACAUGACAUUUGUACUACAGACCCAGGGGCGGUUUCAGCCGGGUUGGUAUUGAAAGGGUUAAAUAUCCAGAUUGGUUGUGAUUGGAAAAUGAUUUUUUCUUAGUUCCAGGGAUGAUGUUUUACCUUUGAUAAUUCUUUUUUCCAAUCUAACACAUCUAGAAUUACAUUAAUUCUAAGUAUUUUUAUUUUAAGACUGUUGGGUUUUAUUUCAGUGAAAUUUGGCUGUUAUUUCUCCAAUUUUGAGUAUCCACAUAGAGUCUCUCCCAUUUGCUCAUUUCUAGAUGGUGUUAACUGUGUGUGAACAUUUUUUUGUCUAUGCAUACACACUGGUAUUUUAUAAAUGUGGAUGUGUGUGUGUGUCUGUCACCAGGGUUUCCGACAACAUUUUUGUGAUGUCUACAUCAUCAUCGUCCAUUUUUCCAUUACUUGCAUAUCUCUUAAUUUUUAAUUGGAUAUUUGAAUCUAUAAAAUAAGAGGCAGGCUUACUCUCUCUCUCCCCGUCUCUCUAGUUUUUUUUCUUCUCUUUUUAACUUAUGCUUAAAUACCAAACUUGACUAUCUGAAAGUUCAAGUUAAAUAUUGCUGUCCUCAGAUAUACUGGUUAGCAUUGCUGGCCUAAUUUGCCAGCAAGUUGAUAAUAUCAGCUACACAUCAUUUCUGAUUCAUCAUUUUAACUCUCUGUUAUGAUCUUGUCUCAUUUGUAUUCAAAUUCUGCUGUGGUUGACUUUGCCUUGCAUCUUUUUGGGGCAAUGAAAUAAGUAUUUAUUGGGCACUGGGCUUGAUGUAAUUGCCUAAACCCCACCUCCUCCAAAACUUCAUUUCUUGUGCCUAUAUUAGAAAGGAUUAUUAUUCCACCCCAGUCUUACUUGAUAAAAUAAAAUAAAUGCACCCUUUUAAAGCCUAGCCAGGCUCAUGGGCCCAGUUUCCCGGUUUCUAUGGCGUAUGUGUUCCCCAGCUGGAUGGGACGCCAGUCCAUCGCAGCGUUACUCAUUUUUGCCAGCUCAGUUGACUGGAGCAAUGUGAAAUGAAGUGUUUUGCUCAAGAACACAACACGUCGCCUGGUCCAGGAAUCGAAACCACAAUCUUACGAUCAUGAUGCUGACACCCUAACCACUAAGUCACGUGCCUCCACAGUCUUACUUGAUAGUACAAUGAAAACACAUAUUAUAAAUAAGGUCUCUGAGCCUCGGUUAAAUCCAAAGUUUUGUUUUGGUUUUGUAUUUUCCUUUGUAUUAGCAUUACUCUGAGUAUAAGAUAUACAGUACCUAGCAGUGUUGCUUUCUAUAUGUUGUGCACAUUGUGCAUUUUCUGGCUUACAUGUCGAUGUAAUAUACAGUGUAAACCAGAGGUUCUCAACCAUUUUUUGUCUUUGGUCCCCUUUGAUUAUCAUUUUAUUCUGGUAUACCCCCAUAGACAUUCAAUGUUUAAAAACUAGUUUUAUAGAAACUUCUUUUGAAAUUCCUAUUUUGUUUUUCGCACAUUAAUUCGUAUAGGUUGAUCUGUGUUAAAUGUUAAAGAAACUUUGCUGCUUCUUACAAUACAUACCAAUACACACACCUAAAGCAAAAUUCUUUCAAGGACUCUUAAAAUACUAUCGUGGAUCCCCAGUUUACUAUUUUGCAGUGUCGACCCCCAAGAAUCUUACAUUGACUCUCAGGGGCCAUAUGGACCCCCAGCUGAGAACCACUGGUGUAAACAUUCAAACAUUGUCAUUAUCUUUCCAAAUCCUGCUGCAUUUCACAUGGAAGUUGUCUUGGUGCAUAAGUUGACCUACCUUUUUUGGCUGUAAAUUUUGGUCUGAAAAAUUCGACUUAUAUGCUGGAAAAUACAGUGUUCCAUAAACACACACAUGCAUGCAUGUAAGCACACACACGCACGCACACAAUAAGCUCUUUUCAAUUUUCGUCUACCAAAUCCACUCACAAGGCUUCGGUCAUCCUGGGGCUGUAGCAAAAGAUACUUGCCCAAGGUGCCACACAGUGGAACUAAACCUAAAACCAUGUAGUUUGGAAACAGACUUGUUACCACAUGGCCAUGACUGCACCUACAAAAAAACAUCCCGGCUGUCAGGAGUGGGAUGUCUCAUGAAUUUCUCCAUUUCUUUAAAGUGUGAUGCAUUAUAAUUGGUUAAGACUGAUAAUUUGAUUAGGAGGCAUUUCCUAUCCUGGGUGUCCUUGACAACGAUAUCCAGUCAAUUAAUCUUGAUGUCUCUGUUUAAAUUUCUGUAUAUGAAAGCCCCAAGUCAAUCAUGUCUGUACAUGUAUUUUCUCUUGGUUGGAACUGGUUGAUCAGAGACUGUGUGGUUAAUUGUUUCUUUCUAAUCUCUACAUGUUCUGCAGUUAUUUAACUCUUUGGCAUUUCGAUUAUUCCGUCCAAUGUUAUGCUUAUUUAUUCACACAGUUUUUUCAUUUAAUCUUGCAUUGUCUUGUAGCUUUGUGAUUUUGAUGAGGUAACUGUUAAUUUUUAGAAGGAUAUUAUAGGGAUGCUGUGAGAGGCCAGAUCUGGCCAGUUUCGGAUCUUUUCGGUUUGAAUGGCAGUUUUUUCUAGCGGUGUCAUAUGAAAUUGUCACCCAUAAUUAUGACCCUAGAAUCGAUCUAUUGCAUUUCAAUCUCUUUUAGGAUUAGGGUUAGGGGUGGGGGAAGGGUAUCAUUUUUUUCUUCACAAAUGUAAAUAAAACCAAUCUGUUUCUUAAACGAGGGACAUAUUCAUACGCCACAGAAUGCUUUUUAACUCAAUAGACAUCAUUGAUUGGUUGAAAUUGCAAAAAUUGAAGAAAAAAACCAACAAAUAUCUUACAAACCAUAGAAUUUUAUCAAUAAAGCCAAGAGAAAAAGAUGUUUUAUAAACACAUUCUACCAGUAUACGAAGUUUAAAAGUUUUUAGUUACCAAGAAAUUAUGUUAAAAACUGCCGUUCAAACCGAAAAGAUCCCCAGUUUCAAUAUAAAACAGGUGGAAUUUUUCAGCUGGAUAUGGCCCUGUUUAAACACAAAAGAAUUAAUGUAUUCCCCUUAUUUCAUCCCUUCAAUGGUUCUAGUGGGAAAGCUAUGAUUUUAUGCUACAGUCACAAUCGAAAAUCCUUCUGUCUCAGCUUCGAGUCCUUGGCCAGUGUUUGGGUUUUUCUUUUAUGUAUUCCCAUUCUUUGACAUACAGGCAUCCACACACCACUGUUUUGUGUGGGGACCGGCAUGUCAAAGAAUGUGCUGUGUGGGCACUAGCAUGUCAAAGAAUAGACUCGAUGUUUCCUCUGUGUGUUGUAAAAGGCUGCUAAAAACAGUUGAAGUAGGCUUUACACUCUGGUCUUGUGAAACCCUCAGCAGACUCAUCAGUUGGAGGGUUGUCACCAGAGUAGUGCAAAAGUGUCAUCCACCAGGAGCAAGGAAUUGCCAACAAAAUGGUGGCUGCAAAUACGCAUUGUUACAGCACUUGCCCUCGUACUACUACUACUCCAAUUGCUUUGAGUGAGUUAGGUUGCUAUCUUUAGCAAAUCAAGUGACUCUUAUUGGUUCGUUUUUUUUCUUUGUUCAAACUGGCCAGGUCCAACCUCUUACAUCUACCCUACAUUGCCAUUCUAAAAAUAUGCAAAAUCAUUGAAAUCUCAAAGCUGUGAGAUAAUCCAGAAUUAAUUCAAAGCAGUGUGACUAAAUAAACAUUCCAUUUGACCAAAUGAUCUGAAUGCUAAAGGGUUAAGAGCCUCUCCCUCCUACAUGGAAUAUAUGCUGUGCCUAUGAAGAGUUAUUUUUGAGGAUUGAUGUUAUGGGAAUUUUGUGAACUUUGGGGUUAUAACUUUACAGGUUAUCUCCCUGAGAUCGCGGGUUCGAAUCUCAGACCAGGUGAUGUGUGUGUUUAUGAGCAAAACACCUAAGCACCACACAGCUCCAGCCGAAGGUAAUGGUGAACCUCUGCUGACUCUUUCGCCACAACUUUCUCUCACUCUUUCCUCCUGCAUCUUGCAGCUCACCUGUGACGAACCGGCGUCCCCGUCCAGGUGGGGAACCUAUACGUCAAGGAAACCGGGAAACCGGCCCUUAUGAGCUGGGGAUGGCUCGAGAAGGAACAAAAAAAGGUUAUCUCCCUGUGUGAUGCACAACCACACCAAAGCAGACAUUAGAACUCGGUGCCAUCUCCUGACUUGCUAUCUCCUGUCAAACCAUCCAACCUAUGCCAGAAUGCAAAGUAAUGCCAGAGUGAUGGUGAUGAUGAUAUUUUUAUUUCUGAUUCCUCAUACCUUUGUUUAUUUCUAUUAAAACAUUGGUAUUCUUUGAAAUUUAGUUUUAAUAUCAUUGUCUUGUGUGUAUUUUUAUAAUUAGAUGUCAUUGCUGAUAGCAAUUUGUUCACCCUAAAAUAAGAGACUUUAUUUAGUGUUAGAGCAGAAUGGAGGUAAAGGAAGUAAUGUACCUUACUUAGAACAUAAAAUUCUGCAAAGCACAGUCUAACAUUUAGGUGCCAGAACUGUAAUUUUGAGUUUUGGGUGAUAAUUAUUCACUGAUUUAGCAAUUCAAAUUAAUAACAUCAAAAAAUUUCCCAGGGACGCCUUCUGCUUAAAGAACAUACAGUUAAGUGCAGUUGUGUGUUGAUCUGUUGCUCUCCUAAUAUAGUGAGUUUGAAUGUGUGCGUAUAUAUGCGUAGACAAACUGAUAUGUAAAUGUAUUUGCUAGUCCACUAGUAUGUAGAUAUUCGUAUGUGUAUAUGUGUAUCACUCUUCUGAUGUAGAGUCUGACAUGCAUGUUUGUUUGUGUGUGUGUGUGUAUUUCAUUGGUUAAUCAAACUGUAUGUGGUAUAUAGACACAAACCUCUACUUGUGAAGACCUGUUGAGGCAAGUGAGAAUCAGAAUCAAAAUCGAAAUUGAUCAACAUUAAUGGAAAUUGUAGCUGUGAUACCAGUGCCGGUGGCACGUAAGUGAACCAUCCGAACGUGACCUUUGCCAGCGCCACCCCGAUGGGCCUCCGUGCUAGUGGCACGUAAAAAGCACCAUCCGAUCGUGGCUGUUGCCAGCCUCACCUGGCCCCCUUACCGGUGGCAUGUAAAAAGCACCAUCUGAUCAUGGCCGUUUGCCAGCCUCGUCUGGCACGUAAAAAGCCCCCACUACACUCACGGAGUGGUUUGCAUUAGGAAGGGCAUCCAGCCUGUAGAAACAUUGCCAGAUCAGACUGGGCCUGGUGCAGCGUUCUGGCUUCCCAGACCCCAGUUGAACCAUCCAACCCAUGCUAGCAUGGAAAGCAGACGCUAAAUGAUGAUGAUGAUAUAGAUAUAUAUAUAUAUAUAUAUAUAUAUAUAUGUAUAUUAGUCAGAAGCAAUGAAGAUAUCAAUAAUUAGUUUAUUUAUAUACAGAUAUAAAAAGUCUCAGAAUUUUCCCUUGGAAAUAAAAUGAAACAUUGCUCAACUUUUUAUGUCAUUAUAAUCUAUAUGUCUAGUACUUAAGAAUCAAUCUCUGUCUCUGCCAUAUGUAUAUAUGUUGUAUAAAUGCACACACACACACACACACACACACACACACACACACACACACACACACACAAGAGUUAUGUGUAUGUGUUUAUGUGUGUGCAUGUGUAUAUGUGUGCGAUAUUUGUGUAUAAGUAAUCAUUGCCUUAUCUAAUAACUUCCACAUCAUAAACACUUGUAUCUAUAGAAGUCUUGAGGGUUUUUCAUCUUUUAAUAUGAUAUAAUAUAUAUAUAUAUAUAUAUAUAUAUAUAUAUAUAUAUAUAUAUAUUCGUUCUUCCAUUCCAUUUAAUCUUCUGGACUAUAUGGUCAGUAAUUCUGAAUUUCCAAUUCAACAAUGAUUUCCGUUACUAUUGCUUGACCCCCCCUUCCCCUCAUCCCACUUGCAAAGCAAUAACUAACAGCCUUCAGUCCAGUUUGGUAUUCAUGAACCAUAUUAUUGGUUCAUGUCUUCUAUAGUAAUUCCGUGCGUCUUAAUAAUUCCAUGCACAUCUUAUGAUGUUUUAAAUCACCUCCAGUGCUUAACUUGUCCUUUCUUUCAUGAGAUCCUGAAAGGAUGAAAUGCACACAGAUGACCUUGGCAAGAUUUGAACUCAAAAUAUAAAGGGAUGUAGGCGCAGGAGUGGCUGUGUGGUAAGUAGCUUUUUUUACAAACCACAUGGUUCCGGGUUCAGUCCCACUGCGUGGCACCUUGAGCAAGUGUCUUCUACUAUAGCCUCGGGCCGACCAAAGUCUUGUGAGUGGAUUUGGUAGACGGAAACUGAAAGAAGCCCGUCGUAUAUAUGUAUAUAUAUAUAUAUAUAUAUAUAUAUAUAUAUAUAUAUAUAUAUAUGCGUGUGUGUGGUUGUGUGUCUGUGUUUGUCCCCAUAACUUAGUGGUUCGGCAAAAGAGACCGAUAGAAUAAGUACUGGGCUUACAAAAGAAUAAAUCCUGGGGGUCAAGUUGCUCGAUUAAAGGCGGUGCUCCAGCAUGGUCACAGUCAAAUGACUGAAACAAGUAAAAGAGUAAAGAGUGGCUAAGUGCUCUAACUCCACAGAAUGUAUCAGGUGCCCUUGGUGUGUUACUGACAUGGAUGCUUCCAACAUGUCACUGGCACAGAUGCCUAUAAUGUGUUGCAGGCACAGGUGCCUCUAACAUGUCGCCAGCAUGGGUGCCUCCAAUGUGUCGCCGGCACGGGUACCUCCAGUGUGCCCCCCACCCCCCAUACCUUCAACAUGUCACUGGCACUGGCUACAACUAUGGUUUCACUAAGCUUGACACAUCUUCUCAAGUACAGCAAAUUUCCAAGUCUUGGUCACUCAUCAUCGCUUCCAUGAGACUCAAUAUCCGAAGAUCAUAUUGCACCACCUCAUCCCAUGUCUCCAGCUGGUGCUAUGUUGUGCAUGUAUGUAUACACACACACACAUACAUGGGAUAUGGCACUUUGGUCUAAGCCACUUUAGUCUAAGAGCAUUUUUGUCUAAAAACAAAAAGGAUUACUAGAGUAUAGUUAUUUAGAUCUUUUACAUUUUUUUUGAGAUUGUAUAGACAAAAUAGUUAUUAGACCAAAGUGAGUUUAAACAAGAAUGUCUUAAUACUAAAUGGCAUUUAGACGAAAAUGACUUUAGACUUUAGUGCAUUUAUACAAAAGUCACCUUAGACCAAAGUUCUUUAGACUGAAGAGUUUUAGAUGAAUAGUCCCAGGUUCACACAUGUACACACACACACACACACACAUAGUUGAUUGUGGAUCAAAUUAUAAUGUCUGAAGAAGUGAGUGAACUCUAAAUUUAUUACAUAAAAUUGCACAAGUUUCGUGUGUAAUAUGGUUUAAAUGGUCAUUCAUUAAAACACAUGCAACAUUAAUUUGAUUUCUCUUUCCUCAAUUAAUAUUAUCGUUAUUCAUUUUGUAAGAAUUAUAACAUACCUGCUUGAAAUAGAUGCCUUGAAUAUGCAAAGUGCUCCUUUAAUAAUUAGCUUACGUAUAACCAAUCAUUCUUUGGUUAAUCAAAAGGUGCAACCUUUAUACUGUUAUUCAAACACUUUCCUGGCCACCAGGUUCCUGCAUGAAGUGCUGCUGAGGUGAGCGCCUGAAUUUUAAUUGUGUGUGUGUGUGUCUCUAUCUCUCUGUAUACAUCAUCAUCAUCAUCGUUUAACUCCGUGAGUGUAGUGGGUGCUUUUUACGUGCCAGACGAGGCUGGCAAACAGCCACAAUCGGAUGGUGCUAUGAUUGAAAUCACAUGGUCUGGUGGUCUUGAAGCUAGGGUGGCAGGAGUUAUCUCCCACUUGCAAUAAAUAUUGAGCGUGAAAGCGCACUAAAUUAACCAGCUGGAGAAGAUGUCUUCCUGGGGUUAAAAUAGCUGUAUCAUCUUCUCUUAGAGAACACCCAUGUUAAAUUGGUGAUAAACACUACCCUUAUGCACUCAUACACGCACACACACACGCAAUAUUAUAUGCAUAUGCACACCAUGUGAUCACUCUGUGAAUACCGUCAGCUGGCUUUCUAUAUUAUAACCACAGGUUGGCCAAUAUCUCUUGAGCUUAAUAGCAGACAGAAACUGAAGAAGCCUGUCAUAUGUAUUUGUGUUUAUGUGAGUUUGCCUUUCUUUUCAUCAUCAUGUGUGUCCACUGACUGAACAACAGUCUUACUGUCCACACAGAUGGUACCUUUUUCUUGCAGGUGACCAUGGAAGCAUGUCAGAGUUCAUUGUUCAAACGGUGUCAUUUGUUUUCAGUUCUCUGCAUAGCCAGGUCUAGACUGUUAGAUUAGAUAUUCGAUAGAGCUGGGGAUUAUUACCUUAACUGGAAUCAAAGUGAGGGUUGAUAGCAGGAAGGACAACCAGCUGUAGAAAAGUUUUCUUGAUGAAUUUCGCUUGACCCAGUGGACUUUAACCCUUUAGUGUUCUGAUUAUUCUAUCAAACCUAAUGCUUAUUGAUUCCCAUUGAAUUCCUAUUUGAAUUAAUCAUGCAUUAUCUCAUAUCUUCAAGAUCUUGAUGGUGUAAUUACUUAAUGUAGAAUAACAUUGUAGGGUAGGUGUGAGAGCCUGGAUCUGGUCAGUUUGAACAUAAAACAGAUUAGCUAUUUUGGCCGGAUAUGGCUGGUUUAAAUACUAAAGGGUUAAGGAAACGAUGAUGAUUAUAUAUAAAAAAUGGAUGUUAAAUGAUCUUUUGAAGGUUGAUAAAAUAAGAACCCCCUGAAAUUGCUGGCCUUGUGCUAAAAUUUGAUACCAUUAUUUGUUCAAACUCUGGUGAUACCAUUAUUUGUUCAGACUUUGCCCUUCAUCCUUUCAAGGUUAGUAAAAUAGCACUAGUGUCAAUAUAAUCAACUAGUCCUCUCUCACCAAAAGUUUCAGGUGUUGUGACUAUUGUAGAGAGGAUUAUUAUUAUUAUUAUUGAGUGUGAGAGCAGUGCAUGCCAUCAAAGUAAUACUGGAGUACAAAUAUACAAAGCCCAGUUUACCCAUCAUGACUAUCCGUCUGAUAAGAUAACACCAGACACAUGCAUCACAACUAUAUGUGUGCAACAUGGUGAUCUCAUAUCAAGAUAAACAGCACAUGACCUUGCAGGUGGGGGGCGUAGUUAGAAUUUUCUUCAGGUCGAGUCACCCAUCCCACUCAAAAAGUCCUUGAAUAAAGGUUGUUUAAGGAUGUUGAAUGAAACACCCAUGUUUCCAGAGAUGAAUUAUUCAAACCCCAAAGAUUUUCUCUCAAUACAUGGCUAUGAGCUCCCCCCACUACUUCUGCUCAUGAUCAGAGAUGUUAGCCACCAAAGGACAACUGGUUACAGUCAAACAACUGACAAGCAAAUCUGGUAUUGAGCAGAAUAUUAGUUGUAGCCCAUCUUUUAUACCAAGACAAAACAAUGCACAUGAUAACACUUCCAAUCAGUUAAGAUCAGGAGCCAUGAGAACCACUGCCUGGUACUGGAUCAGGGCAUUUAUUAUUAUUAUGGCAGUGAGUUAACAGAAUUGUUGAAAUGUUGGGAAUGAAAUGAACUGUGGUAUUUCUUAACUCUCUGCCCUCAAAAUAGCUGGUUUUGUGCCUAAAUCAGAAAAGAACUAUUAAGGGUGGUGGACAGGUAUAACCGUUGCAGUGUUGGAAAAAUGCCUUACAGUAUUAAUUCUGACUUUUUGGGUUCUAAAUUCAAAUCCUGCAGACAGCAGACAUUUAUAAUGCUAAAAUUCGUUUCUUCAAGUGCUGUUGCAGAAACUCUUGUAACUUGAAGAAAUGACCAUCCUACUUGCUUCUGAUGAAAACAAAUUUGUUAUUUUACUGUAUUUUAUUUAUUUCAUUUGUGUGCCAUGUAAAAAGUACUGGUGAUGGUGCCACUUAAAAAGCACUGGUGAUGGUGCCACUUAAAAAGCACUGGUGAUGGUGCCACUUAAAAAGCACUGGUGAUGGUGCCACUUAAAAAGCACUGGUGAUGGUGCCAUGUAAAAAGCACUGGUGAUGGUGCCACUUAAAAAGCACUGGUGAUGGUGCCACUUAAAAAGCACUGGUGAUGGUGCCACGUAAAAAGCACUGGUGAGGGUGCCACUUAAAAAGCACUGGUGAUGGUGCCACGUAAAAAGCACUGGUGAUGGUGCCACUUAAAAAGCACUGGUAAUGGUGCCACUUAAAAAGCACUGGUGAUGGUGCCACUUAAAAAGCACUGGUAAUGGUGCCAUGUAAAAAUCACUGGUGAUGGUGCCACUUAAAAAGCACUGGUAAUGGUGCCAUGUAAAAAGCACUGGUGAUGGUGUCACUUAAAAAGCACUGGUGAUGGUGCCAUGUUAAAAGCACUGGUGAUGGUGCCACUUAAAAAGCACUGGUGAUGGUGCCACUUAAAAGCACUGGUAAUGGUGCCAUGUAAAAAGCACUGGUGAUGGUGCCACUUAAAAGCACUGGUGAUGGUGCCAUGUAAAAAGCACUGGUGAUGGUGCCACUUAAAAAGUACUGGUGAUGGUGCCAUGUAAAAAGCACUGGUGAUGGUGCCACUUAAAAAGCACUGGUGAUGGUGCCAUCUAAAAAGCACUGGUAAUGGUGCCAUGUAAAAAGCACUGGUGAUGGUGUCACAUAAAGAGCAUUGGUGAUGGUGCCACUUAAAAAGCAUUGGUGAUGGUGCCACUUAAAAAGCAUUGGUGAUGGUACCUAUAAAAAGCACCCAGUAUACUCUGUUAAGUGGUUAACAUUAGGAAAGGCAUCGAGCUGUGGAAACCAAGCCAGAACAGGUUAUGGAACCCGGUAUGAUCCCUGGCUUUGCCAGUUCCUGUCAAGCCAUCCAAUCCAUGCUAGCAUGGAAAAUAGACAUUAAAUGAUGAUGAUGACGAGUAUCUAGAAAUUUCUACAUUCAUGCUGUUGUAUCAAAAGCAUUGUAUCUUGUCUCUCGGCUAAUCUGGGUCAUUGAGUGGAAGAUCAUUGUUAUUAACUGGUCUCCUACAAAGUUUAUUCAUGCUAAGCUAUAGCAGCACGUAAUUCAUUACAUACAAAAACUUAAUUCUACUGAAUGACUUCGAGCUGGGAGCCAAUCUUAAUCAUCAUAUACAGUGCAUGAAACACUAUUAAAUAUUUUAGAGCAUUAGACAAAAUGAUAUGUGGUAUUUGUUCUGGCUCUUUAAGUUCUAAGUUCAAACCCUACUGAGGUCAGCUCUGUCUUUCAUCCUUUCAAGGUCAAUAAAUUUAAGUACCAGUCUAGUAACGUCAUCAAUGGUAUUAACUAAAUCCCUCUGUCCAAAAUUGCUGGCCUUGUACCAAAAUUUGAAACCCUUAUUAUUGUUAUUAUUACCGAUGUUGUCAAACUGGUUCAGUCCCACUGUGGCACUUUAGGCAAGUGUCUUUGCAUGUGUGCUUGUGUCUUCUUGUCUCGACACUACCUGAUAGUCUCACAAGAAGUGUCCUUUGUUUAUAAAGUGCUGUGAAAAUAUGUUUGGUCAUGAGGAAAUAUUAACUUGUUUGGGAAAAGGUGAAAGUUGGUGAUGAGAAGAAUAUCUGGCUGUAGAAAGAUUAAAACCUAUCUCAGCGAAUUCUGUUUGAUGCAUGCAAGCAUGUAGAAGUGGACAUUACCACAGUGAUGUUCAUAAUGCAUGUGCACAUAUGCACACACACACACACACACACACACACACACACACAAAGUAGCGAAAAGCCACAAAGUAAGAAAGUAAAACUAUUUGGCUCACAACUCCAUACACAAGAUGCUAAGUAUUUCAUUACUUCAUUCUUGAAAUUUAUAUUUAUCUGACUCCUGUGUCCCCACAUCAGACAGAAGCUAUUAAUUUGAAUUGCACACAGCAUUACAUGUUUGUGCUGAGGUGAAUUACCUUUGGCAUUUAAUGCAUAUAAGAGCUUUUUCCAUUGUAGCAGUUCUACAAUGUUAGGAGAGAGUUCAUAAAGUGUCAUGAAAAUGUCAACCUCACCACUUUUAAUGUUACUUUGUUUCUGCAAAUUUCAAGUUAGAUUCUUCAACACAUUGAAUUUCAUAGACUUAAUUGUUUUUCUUUUUCUUCUGUUGCAGGUGUAUUCUAAUUCUACGGUAAAGCAAACCAGCUGAUAAGACUUAAAACAGCCUUAAAAGUGAGUUACUUAAUCUCCUUGAUUUUAUUUGCAUUUCUCAUGAUAUAUAUCUUAUGUCAUUUGCGAAAGUUAUAUCUUUGGAACCACCCUCUGCUGUUCCUAUAAGCAUUAUUGCCAAACCUGUCAAGCAUGAUAUAAUUCCUGUUUCCCCCACAGAAAGAUUAUUUUUAUCACCUUGUUCUGAUAUUUACAGAUAUUUCUCAGUAUUCAGUGAAUGUGUCCAAUUAUACUAACAGCUUUCCAAACAAAUCAUUUUUUUCUCUUUUUAGUUUUUUUUCUUGGAAGGCUAUAAGGCUAUAACGGUUCAUUAGUAUUUUUUUGGUGGUUUUAUAAAGAAUGAGUUUGAGUGUGGGAGGAUGAUGACAGGGGUGGGGUGUCUCCUAAAUAAUUAUUAGCUGCAUUAAAAGUUAGUGUAGAAUAUAUAAAAACUAUCGAAUAUUUUUAAAGACAGGCAAAAAAAUAAAUAAAAUAAAAUAAAAAUAAUGAAAUAAGAAAAGCAAAUGAAGAACUUUUGACACAGUUAAAUAUCUAAUUGUUUGAAAUGAGUUGUUGCUAAUUAGAUAUUAUAAUUUAAUCAGUCUAUUAACCUCAUCUUUUUAGAGGUGAAAGAUUUUCCAAUAUUUGUAUCUAAAUUAUCAUUGAGUUUGAUUAGUUUGAUCUUUCGUCAUCAGGUGUCUUAUUCCUGAAUGUAUAGCCAAAUCUUACUGGAUUUGUGCCACACACAUAAUAGUAAAUUAAGAUCAAGGAGUCAAACAAAUGGAGAUGUAGUGUGGCUAUAAAUAUUGAAAAAAAAAAAAAUCUUUUAUUACUUGUAAUGGAAUUUUUAGCCCUUUUGUUACUGUAUUUCUGUUACUAUACACUGCCUUAGCUUCAAUUAAUUUUGCAAAUACUGAAGAAUUUGUUUUUAUUGGCUCUUACUGUGCAGGAACUAAGCGUACUUGGUUCUGUCUAUGUGUGCUCAAGCCACAGGAACCAGGGUAACUCAUUUCUGGUUGUAGGGUACUUUUUGGAUUUCUCAUUUCAUAUGACAUAGUGUACACAAUUUCAAUCAAUUUUUAACAAAUUCAGUAUCUGCAUGUUAGUAGUCUGGUAUUUGGAACAUAAAUUAACAAGAAAUUUUAAUGCAAAGUUUCAAUUUAGAUAUUUUAAAACAGGAAGUUUGUUUCAUAGAACUAUGGGUGCCUUAGGCAGGUUGGUAGUUAGUAAAAGGGUUAAAUACUGUAAAAUGAAAAUCUUAUUGGCAUGGUUUCCUGAUGGUAUUUCUGUUGAGCUCUAACUUAGGAAUUAGUUUGAUAUUUUAACAUUUAAUAAAUUAUUUAUAAAUAAAAAUUUAUUAUGGGAUGUAAUUUAUGAAUGUGCUCAGAAUUUUACAUCAUGUAUCUCACUAAUCACCAUUGAUAAAAGAUAUGCAGGCAUUGUUGAUAUAUAGGCGAAGGAGUGGCUGUGUGGUAAGUAGCUUGCUUACCAACCACAUGGUUCUGGGUUCAGUCCCACUGCGUGGCACCUUGGGCAAGUGUCUUCUACUAUAGCCUCGGGCCGACCAAAGCCUUGUGAGUGGAUUUGGUAGACGGAAACUGAAAGAAGCCCGUCGUAUAUAUGUAUGUAUAUGUGUGUGUGUUUGUGUGUCUGUGUUUGUCCCCCCAACAUCUCUUGACAACCGAUGUUGGUGUGUUUACGUCCCCGUAACUUAGCGGUUCGGCAAAAGAGACCGAUAGAAUAAGUGGUAGGCUUACAAAGAAUAAGUCCUGAGGGUGGAUUUCCUCGACUAAAGGCGGUGCUCCAGCAUGGCCGCAGUCAAAUGACUGGAACAAGUAAAAGAGUAAAAAAGAGUAAAGAGUAUAUUACUGAGAAGCUUUGCUAUAAAAGGUAUACAUUAAUGCUUUUUUCUUCAAUUUAUGGGUACAAGGAAGGACACCUAGCUGGAAAACAGCAUGCAAAAACAGCCCCAACAAGAGCACUCAAAGAGCGCAAACCUCCACCAAAGCAACACCAAUGUCCUCUCAAUGAUUAGCUGGAGACGAUUUUUUUAAAUGAGAAUAUCUGAAAUAAACUCAACUGUUCUCACAAAUGAGAAUACUAAAAAUGAACUCGACUGCUCUCAAAAAUUAAGUGGAAAAAAUGAAAAAUAAUCCAGAAUCCUCGACCGGUACUGGAUUGAUCCCAAAAUCUAAUCAGUUCGUGCCAGUCACAAGGCCAAAUAUCCCUGAAAGUUUCAUUCGAAUCCAUCCAGCGGUUCUUAAGAUAAACAAACACAACUGAAAACAAUACCUCUGCCUUCACUAAGGCAGAGGUGAAUAUUAGUAGAUAUGUAUGGUAGCCUGCUUUCUCUGAGCAGGUCUAUGGUCUAAGGCAUUCCAAUUGUAACCAUCCUGUCUAUUUUUCAGGCAUAAUUUAUCUUGAAUGACAUUACCCAAUAUGUCCUUCCUAGUUUUUGAAGAUGAUUAGGGGAGAGGGGGCAGGAUCUGAGGGAGAUUUGGAUGGUAUUUUUAGCAGAUUAAGCAGGCACAUAGAUGCUCUUAUAUUAUUUUGAAAUAGCUUCAGUAGUGUGUUUAGAGCAGUGGUUUUCAACCAGGGUUCCGCCAGUACAGUCCAGGGGUUCCGCAAGAAGUUACAAAACUGCUAAAAUCGGCAGUAAUUUUUAAUUCUCCUGUGCAGAUAUGUGUGCAUAAGACAAUUAAAUUAUUGCACAGGGGUUCCUCGAGCCAGUGGAAUGUUUCCUUGGGGUUCCGCUCCAACAAAAAGGUUGAAAAGCACUGGUUUAGAGAAUAAGUAACUAGUAGAUAUAAUGAACAAACAAAGAUGUAGACUCUACAGGCCUCAAGGAUAGUUACCUUAUCUAGGAUGGAAGAUAGCCCCAAAUAAACUCAGACGCAUGGCUGAGGAAAAGUCUGGAAUUCUGACAAGUAAUCUCAUUUGUGCCAAUGGUGUGAUAAAAUAUUCCCAGUGUUUGCUGUAAAGUGGCUGACAAUAGGAAAGGCAUCCAGUCGUAAAAACCAUGUGAAAACAUGCCAUAUACAGCAUUAAAGUUGGCCAUUUUUCUCUAUUGUUGUGUGUGCUAAGUGUUGAGUGGCAAGAUGCUAUAAAAGCCAUUCAACUCAUGCCUGCAUAGAAAAACAGGCAUUAAAGUUAUUUUAAUGAGUGGUGUAGGUCUACUUGUGUGUUAAUUAAGAAAAUAUAAUUAAAGCAAUAGAAGUGCUUUCUUGAAAGUCUGUCUUUCCAGCUAAUUUGUCCAAUUUUAAUGCCUUAUGAUGAUAAUGACAUAGGUUUAAAACUAAAGACAUGAUUUUUAUGUUUUUUUUGAUAUUUUGUUCAUUUAUAAAUUUUAUUGAUUAAUUAUAUGUAUUUUGAAAUUGCUUGUUUUGUUGUCAUUAUUUUUUUAAUUCAUAAUUAUUGUCCACCAUAAUUUCUUAUUUUCCUUUUAUUUAUUUAUUUAUUUAUUUGAAAUAUAUUUUGAAAUUACAUGUUAUUUUCUGUUCAUAAUUAUUGCUCCCAACUUCUUAUUCUCUUCUAUCACAUGAAUUUGAGUCACCUAUGUAAGAAAUUGAUGUUGCCUACACUCUUGUAUUCUCACACACUUUCAUACCAAUACCACUCUUACCUUUUCUCAUUCACACCUUCUCACUUUCAACCAAUCUAUUUUUCUCACAUCAUACACUUUCACUUUCUCCUCUAUAGAUAUUCUCUUUUGAUUAUACUCUUUCUCUCUCACAUACUCUCUCUUACUUCUUCUUUCUUUAUCAUGUACUUAUUCUGAUUUUCACUCAUGCAAUUUUUUCUUCAUGUUUUUUUCCACUUUUUUUUUACUCAGUGUUUUUUUUUUACCCACUCAACACGCACUUUCUGUUUUAUUUUGUUUCACUAUUUCCUUCUCUCUCUCUCUUCCUUUCUCUCUUUCUCUCUCUUCGUCUCUUCUCUCUCUCUCUGUUCCCCUCUCUUCUUCUCUUCUCUCUCUCUCUGUUCCCCUCUCUUCUCUCUCUCUUCCCCUCUCUUCUUCUCUUCUUCUCUCUCUCUCUCUCUGUUCCCCUCUCUUCUUCUCUUCUCUCUCUCUUCCCCUCUAUUCUUCUCUUCUCUCUCUCUCUCUUCCCCUCUCUUCUUCUCUCUCUCUUCCCCUCUCUUCUCUCUCUCUCUUCUCCUCUCUUCUUCUCUUCUCUCUCUCUCUCUUCCCCUCUCUUCUCUCUCUCUCUUCCCCUCUCUUCUCUCUCUCUCUCUUCCCCUCUCUUCUUCUCUUCUCUCUCUCUCUUUUUCCCUCUCUUCUCUCUCUCUCUUCCCCUCUCUUCUCUCUCUCUCUCUCUCUCUCUCUCUCUUUUCCCCUCUCUUCUCUCUCUCUUCCCCUCUCUCUCUUUUCAUCAAAAACAAAAUACAAAUUGUAAUCCUACAAAUAGCUGUGACAUUAAUCUCUCCUUUAAGCCUGCCAAUUCUAUAUAUGCAGGUACAAAUUGGACUAUUCAAACACAAUGGCAAACUAGAUUCUCUUGUCCAUCUUACAUAGCGUUAUAUUAAGUUCUCUCACAAUUUUCUCAGAAAGAAGUGUUGUGGUGGUGGUGGAGCCCCGAAAAAAACACAAAAAAAAAAAAAACCCCUGACUCCUCUGAGAACACAAAUUGAGAUGUAACACAUACAGACUGUGACAUUGCAAUAGGAAGCACUUAAUGCUAUUUAAAUACUGGGGAUGGAAAUGAAUACAGGCAAUUACCAAUGUCUGAACAAUUCCUGAAAAGUAGUCCAAUAGUUUAUGCAACUGAUUUUCUUUUUUUUUUUUUUUGCUAUGGAGUAUUUAAAUUUGAUUAUUUCUGGAUGAGUUUACACAGGAGGUGUAGGUGGUUUGUGGGGUUUCAGAAUAACUUGAGCAUUUCAUUUAUUGUCUAAAGACUCAAAACUUUCGUUACUGAAAGUGGUUAUUGAAUAAGGCUGGGCUAUAAAAAGUAAUGAAGUUCUGUUAUUAAGGUGAAUGGUAGGUUCUGUGUGAUAAAUUGCUAGCUUUCCAGAUUGAUCCCACACAGAUACCAUAUCACAUACCCUUGUUUUACACAAGUCAAUAAUUGUAUCAUAUUGAGACAGGUGCAAGUGUGGCUACAUGGUAAGAAGUUUGCUUUGCAACUGCAUAGUUUUGGGUUCAGUCCCAGUGCAUAGCACCUUGGGCAAGUGUCUUCUGCUAUAGUGCUGAGGCAACCAAAACCUUGUGAGUGGAUUUGGUAGAUAAAAAUUGAAAGAAGCCUAUUGUGUGUAUGUGUAUGUAUGUAAUAUAUAUAUAUAUAUGUAUGUAUAUAUCAUCAUUAUCAUGUUUUAAAUCUGAGUUUUGUGCCUGUUAACGGGGGUGGCCAGAUCUACCUCAAUGCCAUAGCAACUGAGGUAGGCAGGUGCAGCCCACCCCAAACUUUGGGCUGGCUGGCUGGUGCCCAUUCUCCUUUGCUAUAAUAAGGUUUUUUUGGUGCUGAAUUUUCUACGGGGAACAUGCCCUUGCUUACCUCCAACCUCAGUUUUUAGACAUGAGUGGUCCCGAGACCAAGGCCUCUACCAUGAUUUUUAAGAAAUGUGGUGGUAAACUAGCUCAGGAAAGCAGGAAUGCUACUCCCUGACACCCCUUUUGGAGCCCCCCUCCCACAUACCUAUAUAUAUAUAUCAUCAUCGUUUAACAUCUGCCUUCUGUGCUGGUAUGGGUUGGACAGUUUAACAAGAGCUGGCCAGGCAAAAGACUGCACCUGACUUCUGUGUCUGUUUUGGCAUGGUUUUUACAGCUGGAUGCCUUUCCUAACACCAACCACCCUGCAGAGUGGACUCCAAUAUACUCAUAUAUAUAUAUAUGAAUAAAGGAGUAAGCAUAACUAUAGUCACAGGCGUAUGUGUAUGUAUGUGUGAGUACAAAAUAAUACAAUAAAAAGAUAAACAGGCAAACAAUAGAUAUUAGGUCAGAUUAUGACAUAUUUAUAUUUACAUUGCAUAAACAAGUAUAAAUCACAGAUCAUUAAAAAAAGAUCCUUUAUGUUUAAAAAUCAUAAGAAUUUAGAAACUUCAAGAGAGAGUGAAAUCAUUUUUUUUUUAUAUAUUUUGAUACUUAAAGUAAUUAAAGCUGUAAAUAAUAGCUUGUAAAUAUUGGGCUUAAAAACAAAACAACAUUGAAAUGUAAGGUAUGUCUUUUAAGUAAACAUUACACAAGGUUAAAACAUUGCAGGGGAAAAUAACCAUUUUAUUCACUUUUGACAGCAAGGUGAAAUUCUAUGAUCAUUAAGAACAUAUAACCUCACACAUGCACACAUGUUCAUGCACCUGUGUACAUGCAUGUAUAAUCUAGAAUAUUUUACAGAUUGCUGAAAUAUUUUUUUUUAUUAAUUUGUAAUGAAUAUUUUUUUUCCUUUUUUGUUAUCAGAGUAGAUAUAACAUUAUUUUACUGUUGCUUACGUUUUAUUGACCUUUAAAGAACACAAGUCCAAUGAGUUGAUGUUGAUAAGAUUUGAAUGCUUUGUUGUGAGGUCAUCAGAUACUGUAGAAUCAUCUCUCUACUUUUUGUGCCAUCUUAAGAGAUGGCACAAAAAGUUAUCCUUUGGUGUGGUUGAACAACCUAUCCCAACCAUCUGGAAUCCACUGUGUGGAUUGAACGGUUCAUCCUUUUGACCACUGAAUACAAAACGUGGCUUGCAAGACCCCCGGUCAGGGGAUUUUCCUGGGUUAUCAUCUGUAGCAAGGUUUCCCCAGUUGCAGCUUAGUAAGUGGUAGUCGCAGUAAAGUUCCUUCCUGAGUCAUAUAAACUCUUAAGGGCCAGUUAGUUUCUUGGUUUCUAUUGCAUAUAAAUUCCCCACCUGGAUAGGAUGCCAGUCUAUUUGCAGGAUUACUCAUUUUUGCUAGCUCAGUAGACUGGAAUAAAGUGAAAUGAAGUGUUUUGCUUAAGAACACAAUGCACUGCUGGUAUGGAAAUUGAAACCAGGGCUGGAUUAAGACUGAUAGAGGCCCUGAGCACUUGGCAGAUUUUGGUGCCCCCAUGUAUAUGCAAUUCAAAAUAUAACCAACAAUAAACCAUGAAAUAAAUUUUUAUUUUUUAAAAUGAAACAAAACUAACAGUAAGAUAGAAAAUAAUGUUUAUUUUCAUAUACUUCCACUUUAUUUAUAUCUGAAAAAUUUUCUCCCACUUUGAUUUUUAAUUUGCAAAGUCUUUAACCAGAUCCUCCUUGGACACCACGAACACUUCGAAAUUAUAUUUCUAAUCAUAUAAACAACUUUCAAUAUUAUUUUUGGCAAGUAUAAAGUGAUUUCAUUUGUGACAUAAACCAUUUACCAUUUCUUUGGGGGUCCCUCAUCCUCGCCUUCCCAUCGUGCCCUAAGCACGAGCUUAUUUUGUUUAAUAGUUAAUCCAGCACUGGUUGAAACCACAAUCUUGCAACCCUGAGUGCAAUACACAUUAGGUCAUGUGGCAUCUCUACCUAGAUAGCCUAAAGUAAAGUUUCCAUCAGGAUCAGUCUUAUGGGCACAUAAUAAGAAUCCUGGCACUAGCAGAAGAAAUAUAAUCUAUUAGUAUUAUGCUUUUAUUCUUCUUCUUUUACUUGUUUCAAUCAUUUUGACUGCUGCUUUGAAGGGUUUUAGUCGAACAAACUGACCCAGGGCUUAGUUUUUAAACCUAGUACUUACUCUAUCGGGCUCUUUUGCCAAACUGUUAAGUUACAGGGACAAUAAACACCCCAACAUUGGUUGUUAAGCAGUAAUGGGAGGACAGACACAAAGACACACACACAUAGAUAUUCAUAUGUACGCUGGGCUUCUUUCAGUUUCUCUCUACCAAACCUACUCACAAGGCUUUGGGUUGGUCUGAGGCUAUAGUAAAUACUUGCCCAAGGUGCUACACACCGAGACUGAACCCAGAAUUAUGUGGUUGAGAAGCAAGCUUCUUACCACCCAGCCACACCCGUGCCUGUUAUUGAAUUUAUACAUUUUUAUUGAGUUUAUGUUUAUUAUUGAAUUUAUACAUUUUUAAUGGCAAUGUAAAAGAAUUUCUAUAGACAACAUGUCACUUGUGAGACGUUUGGAAAGGACCAAAUUUUAAACAAUAAAAUUCAUUUAUAUUAACUGCUGUUUCGUGGAGCCAGAACAGUAAAUUCUUUUUGGCACUCUUGUUGGUAGUUUUCAAAAAUAGCAAUGGAGAAAAGUAGAGAAGUGUUGAACGUAUUAAGAAAGCUGUUUAUAUCCUGAUUGUUCUUUACAGCCGAUGAAGACUUUCAUAAUUACUUUUAUCUUCUUUCACUAAAUGGUCUUGUUAUACUAAUAACUUCUGUAAUUUGACAUCUUGUACGUACAAGAUCUAAUGUGUUAAUUGGGUUUUUGUAUGUUUACCAGACAUCAUAUAUAUAUUUAUAUAUAUGUUGUUAUAUACGAACAAGAAAAAAAAAAGUAAUCACUACAAGAGAAAAUCAUCGUCAUCUGUGAAAAUCUAUGUUGCUCUGAAUUAUAGAUUUCUUUUGACAAGGCAUCAGGCCAAUUGAAUCAAGUUUGAUAUAUUAUUCUAACUCUUUGUAGUACCGAUCUUAGUUGAAAGGUUAAAGAGUUGCAUUACGGAUUCCAAUUUGUUAGUUAUGACGCAUUAAACUAAACAUUGCGAAAUUUCUAAUGUCUGGUUGUCUACUAUCUAUGCCAUUGUUGAUGUGGUGAUAGGAUUUUUAUAAAACCAUUUGCUGUGAGCCUUUAAGGAGUUAACUGGCACUCUAGCUUUAUGUAGACCAUUUCUUUCUACACAUUCACUGUGUGCUGACUUCAGAGCAAUCAACUUCUGGAGAAUCUAAACAUUUUGUGUCUUGAGGAAGGGCCAACAGGAAUAUGAUGAUUAUGAUCAAGCCAAUGAGGGAAUCUCAAAAGGAUCACUUAAACUGCUGAAAAUAGCAGCCCAAUCUCCCUCAAGUGACACAAUCUUAAAAAGGAGGGCCAACAGGAAUAUGAUGAUGAUGAUCAAGCCAAUGAGGGAAUCUCAAAAGGGUCACUUAAACUGCUGAAAAUAGCAGCCCAGUCUCCCUCAAGUAACACAAUCUUAAAAAGGAGGGCCAACAGGAAUAUGAUGAUGAUGAUCAAGCCAAUGAGGGAAUCUCAAAAGGGUCACUUAAACUGCUGAAAAUAGCAGCCCAAUCUCCCUCAAGUGACACAAUCUUAAAAAGGGGAAAGACAUUUAAUAAUGUUCUUGAUACAUACUGUUUGAAAAAAUGGGAUGGGCUUAGCUCAAAUGUCUUUCGUCAUAGGAAGAUCUACCUAAACAUUUUAGAAAUUUGGUAGGUUUUUAGGAAUGAUUAGGUAGAUUAGUAUGUGUAGUUCUUUCCCCCUUUUUUUUUUUUCACUUAACGAGUUUGGAGUAUAUGUGUUUGUGUUAACUCAGUUAAGUAAUGUGUGUUGAUAAAUUAGUCUUUGUGUGAAAUGAGUGUUUUGUUCAAGAACACAAUGUACCACCAGUCUGGGAAUUGAAAUCACAAUCUUUUGGUUGUGAGUGUGACUCCCUAACCAUUAGGCCAAGUGCCUUAUUGUGUAUGUUAUAUUGACGAAAUCAAUAUCAAGUGAUAUAUUGAUAGGCCUGUCAAUGACUGUGUAUCUUUGGAUUUUGUUCAUAAGAAAUAUACACUUAUGCUUCAGUGUAAACCAAAUUAAUAUCCAGAUAGGAGGGUUCGUUACUGUUUUAGGAUAUAUGUGUUGAGAUCAUAUGAAUUAAGUAAUUGCUUUCCUGGGUUUAGAUUGCAUAUUACAUAGGUUUUUGAUGCAAUAUUUAAUUGCUUGGUGAUAUAUCAUGUUUUUACAGAUAGACACUGCCUUGGUGUUUCAAUUCAUUUUGGGAGUAAUCAAGAAUUUAGCAGAAAUUUAAUUAAAUAAUUAACUGUUUCGUGAAGCUGGGGUUUGGAACAUAAUAGGUUCUUACAUAAGAUUUUGAUAAAGGGUUUUAAUUUAAAUACAUUUUUAAACAGGAGCUUUUCAAUCACAGACACAGAGAUGGUCUUAGGCAGGUUAGUGAAAAAAUAAAAAUUAAGGGAUCUUUUCGGUUUGAACGGCAGUUUUUAACAUAAUUUCUAGGUAACUAAAAAAUUUUAAAGUUCGUAUACUGGUAGAAUGUGUUUAUAAAACAGCUUUUUCUCUUGGCUUUAUUGAGAAAAUUCUAUAGUUUGUAAGAUAUUUGUUGUAUUUUUCUUCAAUUUCUGCUAUUUCAACCAAUCAGUGACGUCCAUUGAAGUUAACAACAUUCUGAGCCGUAUGAAUAUGUCCCUCGUUUAAGAAACAGAUUGGGUUUAUUUACAUUUGUGAAGAAAAAAAAGAUACCCUUCCCCCACCCCUAACCCUAAAACAGUUUGAAAUGCAAUAGAUCAAUACUAGGGUCAUAAUUAUGGGUGACAAUUUCAUAUGACACCGCUAGAAAAAACUGCCGUUCAAACUGAAAAGAUCCAAAUUAAGUAUUAUACAGUUUUACCAUGAACUACAAAGUUUAGCUGAAAUAAACACUAAUGUUUCUCACAGACACAUUGAUACUUUUUUAAAUUCUAUUUUUUGGUUUUAAUUCACUUCUAUUGCAGUUUAUCCAUUUUUGCCUUUCUUUUUCCAUGGUGUCUUUUUCUCUAUUUCUCUUGCCUGCCCUCUCUUCUCUUUUCAAAUCUAUUCUUUCAUGCACCUGUUUUUUCUUAACUCUCAACUUUUCUUUCUUCUCUCUUUAUUACUAGCUUCUUCCUUCCCUCUUUCACUAUCCUUUCUUCUUUUUCUUUUCCUUCUCUCUCACCUGUUCUCUUACCUCUCACCUGUGAUUUCAUUUCUUUCUCAGCUCUUUCUUCUUCUAUUACUCCCCUUUUCUCUCUAUUUUAUUUUAAUCAUUGAGCAUUCAUUUUUGCUCAAUUAUUUUCUGAUUCUUUAUUUAAAAAGAAAACCUUAACUACACUUACUGUAGCCAAAAACCCUUAUCAGUUUGAUCAAAUAUAUAUUUGUCUAUCAACUUUCCUUAUUAACUUGUUUGUUGAAACUAACACUGAGUGUAUUUUCAAUUCAGUAAAACCUCAGUAUGUCUACUAAACCUUCCGUGUGACAAACUAUUACUCAAUCACCCAUAGCUAUAACUUCAAUUCAAAGUGUGUUAGUGUUUCUCUUUGACUAUUUUAUUUCUUCAUAAAUUAAUGAAUUUAAAAAAAAAUUUAUUACUAAACAUCAUCAUCAUCAUUUAACAUCCAUCCACUGUUCUUACUGCAUGGGUUAGAUGGUUUGACUGGAACAGGUAAGCCAAAGGGCUGCACCAGGUUCCAGUUUGAUUUGAUGUAUUUUCUACAACUGGAUGCCCUUCCUAAUGUCAACCACUUCAAGCAUGUAAUGGGUGAUUUUUAUAUUUCACCAGCAACAACCACAACUACAACUUGACCAGUGCCACUUAUAUAACAUUCGCUGUAGCCACAACUACAAUUCCACUUGGCUUGGCAAGUCUUUUCAAGCACUGCAUAUCGCCAGUGGUUUUGGUCACUUGCUAUCACCUCUGUGAGGCCCGACAUUCAAAGAUCAUGCUACCGGCAACAGCCACGAUAACAAUUUUAUGGGUGCCGUUCACAUGGCUUGACGAGUCUUCUGAAGCACAGCAUUUUUGUAAAGAAUGGUUUCGAUCCUGUUCAGCUGAAUUAGUUUUCAAUUUGGCAAAACCAGUAAUAUUGUCUGAGACCCCCUUCAGUCAUGACACAGACCAUGGGAUUGCACCUAGAAAGUUACCCUCCCAAGUAGAAGUCCAGCAGUCGCCCAUGAAUACUGGUCUCCCCUCUCCAUGCCACCAGUGUUAUCCAAAGGAAAGGCAAAGGCCAAUACUGCUUGGCACCUGUGACGUCACAACUCAUUUCUGCAGCUGAGUGAACUGGAGCAACGUGAAAUAAAGUGUCUUGCUCAAGAGCAUAACAUGCAGCCCGGUCCGCAAUUCGAGAUCACAACCUCACGAUCGUAAGCUCGACGCUCUAACCACUGAGCCAUGCGCCUUCACAGUAAUAUUGUAAUGACCUUUGAUUUUGUUUACUAAUACAUGUUUGAUAAAAUGGCCACCUAGUUGUUCUUCAUUAACACCUAGUUAAUGAGACUGGUUCAGUUUUACUUUCACAAUACUGUUUUGUUAUUACUUCUUUGGUGAUGUUUUUACUAAAAACAUCUUGUGUUAAGGUUCUUUGAUCUGAUAAUUGAAGUUUCUUUUAUUGUUUGACUUGUUUCAGUCAUUGGACUGUGACCAUUCUGGGGCGCCAUCUUGUAGGGUUUCACUAAAACAAAUUGACUCCAGUAUUUACAGUGUCUUUUUUUUUUUUAAAGUCUGGUACUUACUUUUUCAGUCUCUUUUGCUGAACUGCUAGGUUAGUGGUGGACCUACAGAAGCUAACACUGGUAGUCAAACAGCGGGGUGACAAACACACACACGUGACACUACCACUACCACGUUGUUUCUAUCAAAUUCACUUGCAGAGUCCAGUGUAAGACACUUGUUCAAGGUACCACACAGUGGGACUGAACCUGAAACCAUGUGGUUGCAAAACAAGCUUCUUAAGCACAGAGCCAUGCCUGUGCCUAUAAACAUUUUUUUAUAUCAGUUUUUUUAUUGACAAUUUUUUUUUUAUUUGAGAUUUAGUUCAAUCUGUUUCAUACAACAAACAUUCGUCUGAUAAAACCUCUACGUAUCUUGCUAUUAAUUGUUGUAAGUUUGAUUGGAUCAAAAAACAUACUUGGUUUAUUGAACACUUUGCUAAAACAAAUUGGGAUGUUUUUGGUUUGAACGGCAGUUUUUUCUAGCAGUGUCAUAUGAAAUUUUCACCCAUAAUUAUGACCCUAGUAUCGACCUAUUGUAUUUCAAUCUGUUUCUUAAAUGAGGGACAUAUUCAUAUGGCAGAGAAUGUUUUCACCUCAAUAGACGGUCAUUGAUUGGUUGAAAUUGCCGAAAUGCAAGAAAUUAAAGACUAAAUAUCUUACAAACUAUAGAAUUUUCUCAAUAAAGCCAAGAGAAAAAGAUGUUUUAUAAACACAUUCUACCAGUAUACGAAGUUUAAAAUUUUUUAGUUACCUAGAAAUUAUGUUAAAAACUGCCAUUCAAACCGAAAAGAUCCACAAAUUGUUUACUUAAAAGAGUGUCUGUUGUCAUUUAGAUCAUCAUCAACAACAUUUAAUGUCUACUUGUUCAUUGGAACAUUGUUUGGCCAUUUAGAAUUAUGGACUCAAAGUGCUAGGUCUGAAUGUUAAUUUCUUUUAGUAAAAACAAUGAGUCUAACAAAACGCGUUUUGUUUCAUUUACAAACAUGUCAGAGACUAAAUUAGCCAUAAGGGCUCUAGAAACAUAACCCAAAUAGUGGUGUUUGUGAUAUUGAGGGCAGUGGUAGUGGUAGUGAUAAAGAUGAUGGUGGUGAUGGUGAAUGUGGUGCUGGAUUAGUGAGUGAAGAUCCAGAUCAGUGAUUCUCAGCCAGGGUCGAUAUGUUGAGGGUCCUUAUGAAAGUGUUGAGGGUCCUUAUGAAAUUUUUUUGAUAAAAAUUUUUGUGUAAUAACUUGGUUAUACUUCUACUAUACAUGAAAUGGUUUAACAAUUUUUUAUACAAUUCAUAAUAAUCCUCAUCAUCGAGAUCCCUUAACUGAUGCAUCCAGUCAAUGGGGUGCCACUCUAGAUGCUUUCAUAGCCAGCCAUUGCCACUGGUCUCUUAUCUGUCAUGCCAAGUGAGUUUGCAAUAUUGUAACUUGUCUAGUCCUUGAUGUUGUCAAACCAGGGUUUUCUCUGUUUGCUUCUCUUUUGCCCUUUCUCAACUCUGCCCUGAAGAAUGGUUUAGGGGCAUGGAGUUGUGG
rnacentral:lncRNA from 1 species